GGAGGAGUGGGUGUAUUGGCUAAAGGGGCAGCCAAAUUGUCUAGGAAGUUCCACGGAAUCAAUGGUGUGUUGAGGCUCAUUUGUACGAUUAAUUAGAAAAUUGAGUGAAUUAUUUUUUAUUUAUAUGAUAUUCAUUGUGUUUUUGCUAACAUAUAAUUUUUAUAGACUAUUUUUUCACCACAUAAGUGAGUUAAGAAAAUAUUAAACUAAUGUAAACAUGAAAAUAACAAUUAAUAUAUUCUUUUAACUUGUAAAUGUGACAAAUAAAUAAGAAAAACAAAUGGUGUAAAAACAUCAAACAAUUGGUUGGAAAAUGAUAAUUAAUAUAUUGGAUGUUUUAACUUUUACAAUUUAUUAUAAAUCUUUGAUAUUUUUUUAUCGGCAAAAAUAUCUUUUCAUAUUUCAAAAAAUCUAUUAUAAAUUUGUACUUCAUUUCUCGAUUACACAUUUAUUUAUUAUCUCCAUUUUUUACCAUGUAUUUCUUCAUUUCGUUUUAAUUUAGUUUUCGAUAUAGAUUAAAUAAUACUAUUUUAUUAAAAUUAUAUAAAUUUUAAACCAUUUAAUGAGUUUUUAAAAUACAUGUUUAAUCUUAAAUUUCAAAAGAUAUGAAAUGGAAAGAGUAUAUAUUAGUUUUUCAAUCCCUCAAAAUUCCAUAUUUUUUUAUGUAACGAGAAAUAUUGGUAAGUUACUUUAGCAUCGUCCAUUAAUUAAGGAAAUUAUGAUGGAAAUAUUUUAUUGAAAAAUGAUAUUAUAACUAAUGUUAUUCUCUUCUCUGUGUUAAUUUUUAGAUACGUUGUCAUAUUUUAAUAAAUGUUGCUCAUAUAAAAUAAAUUAUUAAUAUUUUGAUUAUCCUAGAAAAUCAAUAAAACAUUUUAUUAUUAGACCAAUACAUUGGUUGGUAUGUUCUAAAAUAUAUGUUAUAAUUAGGAGAGAUGAAAAUAUAUUUAAUUAUUUGUUAGAUAACCUAAUUUGGAAAACCAUGUUUUGGAUAAAGGAAUUUGGAAAACCAAUUUCAAUUAGUUCUUAAAAUUUAAAUACAUCUAUUGUCGAUAUAAAAUUACCAUUUUAACUUAAUUAUCCUCGGAGUUUAGUUUUACAAAAUCUAUAUCACAGUAAAAGUUUAAAAAUACUAUUAUUUUUUAAUUCCUUAGUCAGUAUCACACCGAAGGACCCUUUUUGGAAUAUGUCAAUUUUAUGGAAGUGCCAUUAAAGCUUUUUUGUGACUUGUGACAGCUAGAGCACAACUCACUCACUGGUAGUAAUUGCUUUCUACUAUUUCCAAGAGCACGCAAGAAACGAUACAGUGGAGCAAGAGAAGGGAUUAGGGAAUGAUCGAGAUUGCCAUUUUUGGGUCGUCUAAAAGUUAUGAUCGAAGACUUUAAUGGAACUGGAGUAAGUAAUUAUGGGGUUUAGGAUCUUCACAGAUUUUCCUUGAUGCAUGAAACAAAAUUCGUGAAAAUAAGGAUGAGCAAAAUUAUAUCUUCUAAUUCAAUUUGGCUCGAACAUGAUUGAUUCUAAAUAUGGUUUAGUUUCAUCAAACCUACUGUUAAAUUUAUAUUUAAAAAUUAGAAUUGUUUAAUGAUAUUUUUUGGUCGAGAGUAUUAUUAAAUAUCUAAUUUUUCAUCAUAUAUACAAGUUAACAAUAUAUAUAUUAUUUCAUAUAUCAAAUUAAAUAUAUAUAAUAAUAAAUAAUAUUGAGAAGAAAUUAUUUAAAAGAAAUUUAAAUUAUAUUUAAUCAACUUUAAAAUUGAUUUUACAUUUCUUUCUUAAUGCAACAUAUGAGGUCAGGUCAAUAUUGGAUCUAAGCCAAGUCUAGAUUUAUAAAGUAUGCUGUCUCCAUGUAGGGUUGGGUAUUAAAUAUAUCUUCCCUUAUAUAAUCCAACUCAUAUUCAACCCGAGUUUAAAAUAUAAUUAUUUUUUCUUAACCGAGUGUAUGCUUACUUUAUAGGCAAUAAAAUUAUUUUUUUGAUUUUCCAUUCCAGUAAGAAUGUUCAAAUAAUUAAAUCUUGAACUUUUUUAACAAUAUUAAUUAGAAAAUGUUAACUCUAUAACUAUAAGAAAAAGUGGAUUUAAUUUAUUAGGAGAAUAAAGAAUCUCAUUGUGUUAUUAGAUAAGAAUGAAAUGCAUUAUAUUUAAAUUUUUUUAUAAAAAUAUUUCUAAAAUUUUAAAAUAUAUGUAUGUCAUAAUUUUAAUGGUUAAAUAAAAUAACGAUACUUUAUUCUAUAAUCCUCAAUCUAAGUAUUUAUUUUCGUUCACUUAACAUAACCUUUUUAAUCUAAAAUCUGAUGGGAAGAUAGAGAGGAAGUUUUGGAGUUCCUUGUGAUUAUAAUUCGGAAUGAUUACACUGACUGCGUCUCAGAAGUUGCUCCUCCAACUUUGGUUUUUUUGCUUUUUACUACUCACUCGUAUAGCUUUUCAGUGUGUUUGUUUCAUUUGCAGGCGUCGAUGCAGCUGCUUAAUUAUCGUGCAUUACAGAUGUUGAGGGUUAAAACUAUGAAUUUAAAGAUCACAUGGACUUGUCUGGUGAGUAGGAUUAAAAAGGUAAGGUAUUAGGUCUAGGUUUUAUUGGUAGCUAGAAACUGGCCUAAACGUUAGAACAUUAAUGUAAUUUCUAAUCACAUGCAUCUUUUGUUAAGAGACAAUUUUAUUUAGGAACCUGUAUAUUAUUGUCAUCGGAAUAACUCUCAUACAGUCAUAGAGUGUGAGAUUUUCUGAGAUAAUAUUAUUAAAAUUCUAAAUCAAACUAACACACUGGUGAGAAUUUUGAUUUCACAAAAUUAUGUUAAUGGACGAGACGAGACGAGAAAAGUAAAUAAAUAAAUACCCAAGACUGUGAAAAAUCUCAUCACAUUAUUUUAUUUCACAUAAUAUUUAAAUAUUAUUCUAAUUUACGUAUAUAAUAAGAAAAAUAUGUGACUUCACAACUUGCAUUUUGUCUACACUAUUACAAAAAUUUCAUUCAUACUUUUGUCAUAUAACAUAUAUUACGUUUUUUCACAUUUUUAUUUCAUUUUUUUAACCAAGCAAUUAUAAUGUUUUAAUGUUUUUUGUUGUGCAUGUCUUAGAUACUUUAUAUAUAUGGAGGAAAUUAUUGGUAAUUACAACAUGUAAAACAUAUGAAAUUAAAUCUAAUAUUUAAAGGAAUAUGAUAUAUUAUAUAACAUUAUGAUGCAGUUUAAUUCAUUGAACUGAUCUCACCUAAACUACUAUAGAGGGGGCAAAAGAAAACCUAUCAUAGAUGGAGGAAAAAAAGCCCAAAGGGAGAGAGUGGAAAAAAACAAUUAAUUAAACUGGUUGAAAGAUCUGAACCAUUGGAGAAUCUGAAAUCAGAUCCCGAAGAUAAAGUACUAUGCAUGAUAUCUCUUCAUGCAUGUCACCUCAAGCACCAGCAUGGUUGCAGUAUCAAACUAUUAAUAUCACACGAAGAACUAAUCAGAAAUUUAUUAAUAUGUCAUUCUAAUGAAAACUGAGAUUUGGUAAGUGCAUUCUUUUAUCCGGAUAUUUCAGCCAAGUGUGAUAAAAACAAGUAUCAACUUCUAUUACUAGCAACUAGUUGAUUAUCAUGAAAUAGAAACCUUUUUUCGCACAAAAAAUAAAACAGAAACGAAUAUAGCAACAAUAAUCGACCACGGAAGGAAUUAAAAAUUGACGGUUUUCUGGUGGAAGAGCAGAAGGAGCAGAAUUAAGGUGCAGGAAGCAUUCCUUCCAAAGAACAUGAGAGAGUGAAGAAGUCAUGUAUUUGAUAAUUCUCACGACAAGCAGAGAAGAAGAAAAUCCUAAGUCAGACAACAAGAUCCAUUACAAAUCAGCUUUCAUUAACACAUUGAAUCAAGAGAAGGAGACAACAAGCCCAGACACAUUGUAACCCUGAUGGGAAUAAAAUCAUAUUAGAGUUUCUCCUCUCUCACUCUAAUAUCAUGUUUUAUCGCAAUGAGAGAGAAGUAAUCAACUUGUAUUUAAACGAUGCUUAAGAGAAAGAAACAUACAAGUUAAACUUACUUCCCAACGCAAAACAUCAAAAUUUUGAGAGAUCCCUUCAACCUUCAUUCUUCUUAUAUAAUUUAUAUUUCUGUUUGUUUCUUUAACCUAGUUACUUAGAAUAAAAUGUAGAUUUACAAAAUGAAAAGACUGAAUAAAUUUUUUUGGUGCAUAAAUGUUGAUUUACAGAAAUAUUUACAGCAGUGAUUAAUUUUUGAAGUCCAUAAUGGUUGCCUUUGACAUAUAAAAUGAUAAGAUAUUUGAAAAAGGAAAUACAGUAAUAAGCAAUAGGGUGAGUCCAACAUGACCGAGUCCAAAUAGAGUUAGAUCUGACUGAGUCUAGGGCCGGGUUUAAUUCAAAAAAUAGACUCGGUCAAUAUUUACGAUUGGGUAGGGAUCAAACAUGACCCGACACAUCCCAUGGUUACUCGCUCAUCGUGUUCGUAUGUGUUUUUACUCAAAUGUGUAUAGAGUAUUUAUAACGUUUUGGUCGAAAAUAUUAUUUAUUCUUUAAUUUUUCCAUAAUAUAGACAUGAUUCAUAAUAUAUAAUAUACAUAUAUGACUUUAUAUAUCAAACUACAUAUUCAUAAUAAUAAAUAAUAUUGAGAAGUCUUUAUCUAAAAUGAGUAUGUAUUAUAUUUAAUUAGGUCUAGGAUCGGAUCAGGUUUAAAGACUGACCUGAUCGUUAUUUAGGGUCGAGUUAGCUUCGAGUCUAUAACCGAGAUCAGGUUCAAAAAAGUAACCCGACCAAUAUUUAGGGUUGGGUAAGAACAAGUCUUAACUCGUCCCAACUCGACCCAUGUUCACCCCUAAUAUAGAAGUGGUUGGAUGUUUUUAUACAGUAAGCUGCACCAAGGUCAUAACGGUUCCCCCUCCUUUCUAUUGUGCUCACUGUUUUACACGCAGGGCAACACUCACUAACACGCGUCCCUAGCCCUUUUAUGUUUAGCAAAUAAUAUAUUAUCUUACUAAUUUCUUACCACUAGAAAAUAAAAUAUGUACGAAUAAGAUACUUUAUUUAUUAGUGAUUAAUUUAAGAAUAAUAUAUAUUGAUUUUUAGGAGAAUUGAAUAGAAGAGUUUAAUAUGAAGAAGAUAUAACAUUAUUACUCUUUAAUAAGGACAAAUUUUUAUGAAAGUAUUAAAAGUGAACCAUUUCAUUUAGAAUUGCUUGCUAUGGCUAUAGUAUUAAAGAUUUAUUGUCCUAAAUUUGAAUAAGUUGUUAAUCUAAUAAUAUAAGACUCUACUAAAUUAUCAAAAUGAUUAAAAUGUUAUAAGUUUGAUUUUUGAAAGUGAUUGUUGUUGAAAGAGACAAUCACACACCUAAAAUGAAUUAGUCUCUUAUCCAAAAAGGAGAAUAUCUUUGACAAUAAAAAAACCAUAAUUUAAAUUUUGUAUUGUAUCAAUAAUAUUAAAAUAAAAACAGAAAAACAAUUAUUGUUCUAUUUUUUAAUUGAUAUAUCAUAUUUUUAUUAAUACGAUACAUAAUUUAAGACUCAAUUUAGGAUACAAAAGUGUGUUUGGCUCAUCAAUACCAAUAAUGGUGCCUCUUGCUCUCGAAUACAGUCUCUAUGUCUCAGUCAGGCAGCUUUUCAUUAAAAUCUCUCUGCUUCUGAUGCUUGCAGUUAUAAUCAGAUCAUUUCUGUGAAAAUCUGCUUCUCAUUUUUUCCUUCUGGGACCCAUAGAAGACUCAAGACACGGGACACGGUUUUAUCAACAUUGCAACAGCAUAUCCCGGUGCAUUUCUCUUUUGGCAAAUUCAUCAAGAUACGUUCCAACCAUAUAACUCAAAUAUGGAUAAAAAUUCUUCUACAUUAUCAUACAUAACAAUAAUGUAACAAUUAGUGAUUCAAUUUAAUCUUUGAAAAAUGUUAAAUCCGAUUUAGUGAUAUAAAGCAUAGCUCAACUUCAAGUAUCGUACGUGAUCAAUCAAGUGAUGUCAAGGUUUAUUAUUCACUGUAGUGACAUUAUUUUUUAGAGGUAGUUCCUCAUUCUUCAAAAAAGUUACUUUUUACCUAUAAAUGAAAUAAUAUCCUGAUUAGCACUGGCCUUCCUAUGCAUCCUUAUAUUCUACUAAAUAAAUAAUAUAAUUACUUUUUAAUUUCUAAAUGCAAUUAUGUUUUUUUAAUACUUUUUGACUUUGUAAGAAAGUGAUUUGAAGGAAUUUUUAAUAAAAAGUAUAGAAAGCUCUUGCAAAGGGAGGGAGAUGGGGAGAAGAUUAAGCAUAUACUUCCAUAUAUAAUAAUUCUCACGACUUAUUAUUUAGUUAUAAUAUGCUCCUUAUUUUGUAGGCUAAAAUAUACUUCCAAUCUGUUCAACUAACGUUUCAAUUUCUUCUUUAUUUAAUAAAUUGUUUUUUAUCAUUGAAUGAAAUCAUUAAAACCAUCACAAAAUAGCCAAUAUCAUCAAAAUUGUCAAUUACUGUGUACCUAAAAAUAGCCAAUAUCAAGUCUUCAAAUUGGUGAAAAUUCUAAUCUUAAAAUUAAAGGAAGAAAUCAAAAUUUUAAAUAAAAGUGAAGGAGCAAUUUGCCAAUUUUUAUGUAAAAAUAAACUAUAUCUGUACUAUAUAAAGCCAAAACUUGAAAUAACUUCUCUCAUGGUGUAAUUUUUAUUUCCUAUAUUGCCCUUAACAUUAUUUAAUUUUUACAAAAAAACUAUAUAAUCCUAAGCAACUACCACCAAUACAUUAAUUAAUCACAUAUCUCACCUUAAAUUAAACAUUAUCAUAAACACACAAAAAGUAUAAUAUAUAAAAAUUGAAUAUGUAAUAUCACAUAAUAUUCGCCGGCAGACAUGAAGUGUCUGUAAAAACUUGUAUUUUAAACCAAACAUUUUGUUAUUCACCCCGUUAGUUAUUUACUUUUUUCUACCCCAUUUUCUCACACAGUUUUAUUUAAAUUAAUUCAAAAUAAAAUAAAACAAAAAAUCAAUAAAAACAAAAAUAUCAAAGACAAAUUCCUUCCUUGGCCAUUUAAAAUGUGUGUGGAAAAUGGAUAGAUUCAGACUUUAUAUUUACUUAUAAAUUUAAAUCGAACCUAGUUACAUAUUUUUUGAUACUUUAAAGCUAACUUCAUGUAGAAUCUUCUACACAUAAAUGUUAUCCAAAAGUCAGUUAAGAUAAGCUUUAACACUCUUUUCUUUCUAUUUUUAACUUUUUACACAUUCUCUCUGCACUUCAAAAAACAUUACUCAACACAUCCAAGAAAUUUUACAUCUAAUGACAAAACAGUACUUAAUUAGCUCGAACAGUUUUCCUCAAUUAACUUAUCUAAUAGAAUAACAAUGGCAUUUGAAAUUACAACUAACAUGUUGGUUAAUUAGUAUAAGAUCACACUAAAUCUUCAUAAUGAUUAAAGGUCAUGAUUCAAUUCACAUGGUGACACUAAUUGGGAGUCAUAAUCACUUACCCAAAAAUGAAUAAGUUCAUUACCUAUAAACAAUAUAUUGUCAUUAUAAAUAUUUAUAUAGGAUCACUAUUUUAAACCAAUGUGUUUAUAUUACUUUUUAAAUAAAUAGUUAAAGAUUGUAUAAAGGGAAAUUUUUUAAAACUCCUAAAUGUGAUUUCAUACAUUUUUCUUGGAGAAUAAUAUAUCUCAUGUAUAAGGAGAUAAAUUAUCUCAUUUGGCUAAUACAAUCGUGACAUGUGUCAUUUUUAAUUAUUUUUUAUAAAGUUAUUUUAAAAACUAAACAAAAAAUACAUAUAUCAUAUUUUUAUUGGCGGAAUGAGAUAAAUUAUUUCCUCGAGAUAGUUUAUUUAUUUUUUUCUUAAUAACGAAUUAAAACAAAAUUAGAUAUAGUUUCUUUCAUGAAUCACUUACAUACUUGUAAUCGCUGUCCAUAGUGUUGCUUUACUGGGGCAAUAUACAACAAAGUUUAAAAAAUGAUAUAUUUUUAUUUUUUAUUCAAAAUAAUUCAUUGCAGUUUUUAAAUAGAGUGUAACAUUGAUGUACUGAUAGUAUAAAAAAUUAUACACGAUCAAUAUAUCAUUCACCAUUUAUUAAAUUAUUUUAUAAAAAGUUAAACAUAAUUAAAAUGAAUAGUAGAUAUAAUGACAAUAUAAAAAAUUAAUGUAUACAUUUUUCCUCUCAAAAUAAGAUCCUAGUUUAUUGUACCAAAAAAUAGGACGUAGUUUGAAAUAAAUACUGUAGUAAUAAAUAUAAAAGACGAACAUAUAUCCGAAACUUAUGUGUAUAUACCUAUUAGAGAUCCAAAAAUAUCCCGGCAAACCCUAUGAAUCUAAAACAUUCUAUCUCUGUUACCCUAACAGAACAAAAGCUUAUUAUUCAGCCGCCAUCACUGUUUUGGUCGUCACUGCUUUGUGCAACGCGUGGUACCUAUCAUCUCUCUCUACACUGCACAUCGCUUUAAUAAAUAUUACUAACAAGUAAAUAUUAUUUUUUGUUUAGUGUUAUGUUUACACUAUUCAGUGUAUACUUAUUAUAUCUUUCAAGCUAAAAAAAGUGAACCAAGUUUAUUUGUCCUCUAGAUUAAGCUUAUGGAUAAAAUUCUACCCAUAUGUUAAUAAGUCAUUAGACCCAAAUCUAUUUUAUUUUUACUCUUACGAGUCUUUAAGUAAAAAUAGAAAAUGAAGAAAUUUGAAGAAGGGUACUAUAUUUGAAUUGAUGGAGUUGGAUAUAAAAUCUUUGGAUGAGACUAGUAUCAAGAGGCUGUCGGUUUCAGAAAUCAGAAAAUGUGGAAAAGGGAUACUUUCUCGAAAAUAUAAAUGUAAUGAUGCCUACUCUUUAAUCUCCCUAUGCUACUUCUGGUAGCUCACCAUCUCUCCCCUCGUGGGUUUCAGACUGACGAUCGAAUUCUAUAAUAGGACACCAUGCCAAUUUUUUAUGAGUAUAAUAUUUAUACUACAAUAUCAAAAUAACAGAUGAGUUUGAUUUAAGUUUAAUUUACAAUAUUAAGAAUUUCAGAUUACCAAAUAUUUUCUACUUUUCCUAAAUGAGAGUAAGUUAACUUCAUGUGUCACAAGUCUGAAAAUAAUGGGAAACGAGAUAGAGAAAAAGGUAGAUAAUUAACAUUGCAUGUUUACGUGCGUGGGCUAGUAAUAGUAGUAUAUGAUUUGGAGUAGAGAGUUGACACUUGACUAAUGGAACUGUAGAGUCAUAAGUACAUGGCUACACAGUGAAAAAGCAAUAGGUGUUGUUGCCUGUUAGCUAUUCGUUAGGUUUAACAAGAUUUAUGGACUUCAUUUAUGCUUUUAGUUUAGGCAGUUAGGCUCAGUUUUCUUACAUAAUACUAUGGUAUAGGAGACAAAGAUGAAUCAUCCUGAGAUACAUUACUAGAGAUAGCUCAUAGCUUAUAUUUUAAAACACUGAAAAUGCAAUCAUUAUGCCGGUGCAAUCUAUAUAUUUCUCUUUCAACAAUUCAUCCUGCAAAUAUAUUUACGCAAUUCUCAAAACAAGGAAAAAGUCAAAACUUAAUUAAUAUAAAAGGCAAUCGAAGUUUUAAUUAAUGUAAUAUAUGUUUUCAAUUUCCAGUUUACAAUUUCAAAACUAUAAGUUAGUUUUGUAUGAAAAUUUUAGGUCGUGGGUAGUAAUAAAUUUAUAUUAUAUUAAACUUAACAUUUUUAUAUGCUAUUUUCUUUUGAUUUUUUAAGUUUUUCCAAAUUUAUUGAUACUUUGGAAACACGAUACAUGGUUAUACUUUACUUUCUAAAUAUACUAUUAUUUAUGAACUAUUUUCACCCCAAAAUUUUCAUUUUUAAUACAGUUUAUGAUGUAUAUUAAAUGAUGUUAUUUUAAUUAAAUUAUAUAUAAUUUAUUGUUUUCUUAAUUUAUUAUAUAACUUUAAACAUCAAAAAAUAUUAAAUAGAUGAAGUAUGAUAAGAACUACUAGAUCUUAUGAAAUAUGAAUCAUUUAAAAAAUCUUAUAAUAGUAAUAUUAUAUUAGAAUGUUGAAUGUUGCUCAGAUGGAGAUAAUAUAGAAAAAUAAAUUUAUAAUUUAAAAGAUUUAAGUACUUUCAUUUUAACUUAUUUAUAUAACUAAGAUAAAGAAUGUAGUUGUAUAUAAUUUAGCCAAAAGAAAUCUAGAUAUAUAUAACGCCUAAAAGAAUCUAAUAUAUAUACAUAUAUAACAAAAAAAUGUAAGAUACAAAUAUAAUAGUUUUAAUAUCGUAAAUCUUCUCUAUUUUAUUUUAUGAAGGAACAUGUCAUUAUCGUGUUGCAAAAAACUUGGACAAAGUACCUUCUUUUACUUUAAAUAAUAAAUGAGUUUGGUACGAAUGUUAUUUUAAUUAAAUAAAACUAAUAAUUAUCUAUGUUUUGGUUUUCACAUAAAAAGAAAAAUAAUAAUUCUAUUUACCUAAAUAUGCUCCAUAUAUUAUCCUAUUAGUGUUCUUUGUCUAAAAAAUUCACUAAAAAAACAGAAAACAUAAAUAAAUUAUGAUGAACUAAUACUUCAUAAAUAUGAAAUAUGUAGCAAAUUUUCAUUUUUUGCUACAUGUGUAAUGUGUGAUGGUUAACAAAAAUCUAUUAUAUAAAUUAUAAACUAAAUGAUAAUGCCCUGCUGCCAAAUCUUUUGUAUCAUAUAAUUUCGAAGACAUUAUAUCCUGAAAAUGAUAAAUUUGUUUAAAAAAAACAGAAAAAAUUAUAGGGUAAAGAGAUAUACUUUAUUAAAAAAUCUAAAGCCAAAUUUGGUGAAAUGAGGACUUUUGAUGUAGAUGGGCAGUGAAAUUGAGGGGCGUACCAGUAUCAACAGAAAAGAGAAAGCCUAGGACCCAAAGCCCUAACAGGAUCAACAUAACACAAAAAUCUGUUGGGUAGAUUGUAGGGCCGAAGCCCAAUCUGAAAGCAUAACUGAGUCACAGACAUCGAUAAUUUUAGUUUAAUAUUAUUUUUUCUCUCAUCCUUUUUGUAAGAAAUUUUGGUAACUUUACCUGGAUUAAGGAAAAUGAAAACAUCAGUCUUUUUUGUAUUUGAAUUGUUUAUGUAAAUAUAUUUUAGUAAAAAAAAUCAUUUAUACAUACAACCUUGAAAAUGUUCAUAUAAAUAUGACCAAAAUAAAAAAAAUCUAAAUACUAUAAAAAGUAUAGAAAGUAUUACGUGUAAAUAAAAACAGAAAACCUGUUACAAAAGCACCCUAGAUCAUCAUGACUUUGUUAAGUCCAUAUCCUGGGGAUUGAACCUAUUUAUAAUCUGCUAAAAAUAUUAUGAAUUUAUCAGUGUUAGUAUCCGUCAUCAUCUCAAUCACGCACUCAAUAAAGAUAUGGUGCAUAACAAUGUAUGUCAUCACAAUGGUGGGGAAAUUGUGGACCCUCUGCAUGGAUUUUAAUUAUUUAGAGGAUCUGGUUUUGCAUCAUGAUUCAAUGAAACUCUACAAAUAAAAGAGAAAGAUAAUUGUUGGUAUUGACGUGAUUGGGAAAAAAGAAAGUUGGUGAUAUGAUUCCAUGCUACUAGUGGUUGAAGAAGCAUAUAUAUAUAUAUUACCAAAUCUAAAAGUAGUCAAAAUGUAGGUGGGGCGUCAAUGGAGUUGGUUUUCACACCCAUGACAUAAAAAGAAGUUGCAUGCUAAUCCUGAUCUAAAAAUCAUAUUGCAUUUCUUAUGCCAACCACUUUUGUCUAUUUUCCUUGAGAAAGUUCUUCCUGAAACUUCAGACCCUUUAUGACCAAUUUUAAGGUAAGUUUGCCAACUAUAGUUACACCAUAUUAGUUGGAAGCUCUGUGAUAGGCUGAAUGAUCCAAUUGAAGAUAUGAAUACAGUGAAUGAGCCUAAGUCCAGAAGGCAAAUUGUUACUCCUAAAUGGAUGGCAGAUUACAUUGUCAAUUAAAGUAUAUUUUACAGUUUAUUUCUUUUCCCUUAAAAAGUAUCUAUCAAUCAAGAUGAUGCCAAGUGUAUGGCUAACAUCAUAAUUAGGGUUUGCUUAUUGUAUUUAAGCUUCAAUUGCUUCUAGCUGAAAAUAUAUGAAAAAUCUAGAGCCUUGCUCAAUUUUAUCUUGCUUUCUUUACAUUAAUCCAAAUUUUAAUCCUCAUUGGUAGAAAUAUCCUACCAAUUUGGUGCUUUCAUCUCCCUCAUGCCUCCUAAGCAAACAUCUCAACCUGCAUAAGAUCCCUUGAGCAACAUUUUGGAGAAACUCUCCUUCAUGGAGCUCCAUUUUGCUGCAAGACAGGAAUUGCUGCAUCAAACCAUGACAUCCAAACAUGAAGAACUUCAAUCUGUAAUUUCAGAUAUGAAAUCACAAAUCCAACCAAAACCACCCCCUUCUAAUCCACCCUCAUCAUCACCACCAGGUUUCUCUGUUCCAUCCAACCCUCAAUUCACUACUCCCACUCACUCCUCUUCCACUAACCCAUACCCUAAUCUUAAUCCCCAAAAAUUAAAUCUCCAACCAUUUGACGGUUCUGAGCCGUUGGAUUGGAUUUUUCAAGUUGAAUAAUUUUUUCAGCUUUACCAGAUUGCCCCUCACCAGCGCAUGGAUCUCAUGCCCUUUUCCAUGCAAGGGGAAGCACUCAGCUAGUAUAAGUGGAUGUUCCAGAAUCAUCAACUCACCACUUGGGAGAGUUUUACCAGAGAUUUAUAGUAAUGAUUUGGCCCAUCAGCCUAUGCUAACCACCAAGCGGAGCUGUACAAACUUAAGCAGCUCACCAUGGUUACAGACUAUCGACGCCGUUUUGAAAAGCUUUGUAACAAGGUGGUAGGUUUAUCUCCUGAAAUGAUUUUAAAUAUUUUUAUAUCUAGUCUUAAGCUUGAAAUUAGCAGGGAAUUGGCUAUUUUACAACCUCACUCUGUUAGCCAUGCUAUGGGACUAGCUAAAUUGAUUGAGAGUAAAUUAAAUGAUGUAAAACCAUUUCCCCGUUUCACAAGACCCACCUCAUAAACUACUGUUCCAUUUUCCUCUAGUCCUACUCCCACUCCACAAAAUAAACUUCCCAUUAAACAUUUAACUGCGACCCAAAUGCAGGAACGUAGAGCCCAGGGUCUUUGCUAUAAUUGUGAUGAGAAAUAUGUUUUUGGCCACAAAUGUCAACCUAAACAAUUUUUCUUAUUCUUAAUGGAUGAUGAGUCGGCUGAGAUGUGUAGUCUACAACCUAUCUUGGAGACUAUCCUUCCACCAUAUGAAGAAAGUUCUCCACUAGAUAACUUGGAAGAGUUCGUCCAUUUCCAACUAUCAGCCCAAGCCCUCCAAGGCAACCCCUCACCUCGGACACUAAAAUUCCAAGGUCUCAUUCAUGGUCAGCCAGUUCAUGUGCUGAUUGACACAGACAACUCCCAUAAUGUCAUGCAACCGAGGGUUGCACAAUUUCUAAGACUAGAGAUUUUGCCUACUCCUCAUUUUUCGGUUAUGGUCGGAAAUGGUGAUGAUAUUUAUUGCACCGGUGUGUGCAAGGAUACUCCACUACAGCUACAACAACACUUGUUUCUAGUGCCCUUCUACUUGCUACCAAUUCAAGGGGCAGAUUUGGUUUUGGGUAUCGAAUGGCUACAAACACUUGGACCUAUCACCUCCAAUUUUGCUAUUCCAUCCAUGUCCUUCCACUAUGACAACAAACCUAUAACACUCAUCGGCCAAAACUCACACUCACCAAACUUAGCCUCACUCAACCAAUUAAGUCAUCUUUCCUAUACAGACUCUAUUGCAGAAAUGUUUUGCAUUUCUUUUCCAGAACCAACCACACCUAAGUUUCAACCCAACCCUGACAACACCACAACCAACAACCCCACCUUGCCCGAAAUAAAAAACCUUCUAAACAAAUUUUCCCAAAUCUUUAACCCACCCAAAGGCCUGCCACCAUCCCGCCCACAUGAUCACCGUAUCACUCUAAUUCCCAACUCUCAACCCGUUAAUGUUAAACCUUACCGAUACCCACAUAUCCAAAAAGAUGCUAUGACCAAACUCUUGGCUGACAUGUUAAAAGAAGGAAUUGUGAUCCCAAGCACAAGUCCUUUUUCAUCGUCGGUCUUGUUGGUGCGAAAAAAAGAUGGGACUUGUCAUUUCUGUGUGGAUUACCGUAGCCUCAAUGCUAUUACAGUGAAGGAUCGUUUUCUGAUUCCGACUAUUGAUGAACUUCUGGACGAAGUAGGGAUCGCUUCAAUUUUCUCAAAAAUUGAUUUGCGAUCAAGGUACCACCAGAUUAGAGUAAAACCUGAAGAUACACACAAGACUGCUUUUCGGACAUUCGAUGGGCAUUAUGAAUUCUUGGUGUUGCUGUUUGGGCUUACCAAUGUCCCAUCAACGUUUCAAUCAGCUAUGAAUGACCUACUCCGGCCAUAUUUGCGCAAUUUUGUGCUGGUCUUUUUUGAUGAUAUUCUGGUUUAUAGCACUACAGUAAUAGAGCAUGUUAGUCAUCUUAAGUUGGUUUUAGAGUUGUUGUUUAACCAUCAAUUUUUUGCUAAGAUGUCUAAGUGUAUUUUUGGUGUUGAAUCAAUUGCUUACUUGGGCCAUUUUUUGUCAGCUAAUGGGGUUCAACCUGACCCCGACAAAAUCCAAGCCAUAGUCGAGUGGUCAAUUCCGUGUUCUUUGACACAAUUACGUGUAUUCUUGGGCGUGACUGGAUUUUAUCGUCGUUUCAUUAGAAACUACGCUGCUCACGCCGCUCCACUCACGGAUUUAUUAAAGCAUACAAAGUUUACAUAGUCAACAAUGGCACUUGAAGACUUUACACAAAUGAAAACGAUAAUGACUAAAACCCCAGUGCUAGUGCUUCCAGACUUUAAUGUUAUUUUCGAUGUUGAGACUGAUGCUUCUGCCUUGGCAAUUGGGGCAGUAUUGUCACAAAAUGGACACCCAAUAGCUUUCUUUAGCAAGAAGUUAUCAACCAGGAUGCAAGCUGCCUCCGCAUAUGUCCGAGAACUCUAUGCUGUUACAGAAUCAGUAAUGAAAUGGCGUCAGUAUCCAAUUGGCAGAUAUUUUCGCAUAUUUACAGAUCAAUAAAGCUUGAAGCACAUGUUAACACAAGCUUUUCAAACUACUUAACAAAAAAAUGGGCUACAAAACUACAAGGAUUUCACAAUGAGAUUUUUUACAAACCUGGAAGAGAGAACAAGGUUGCUGAUGCUCUAUCUCAGUGUCAUUCGGCUGAAUCGAUACUAGUGUCCUUGAGCUCGCCAAUUCCAAACAUGCUCAGUCAACUCACAAAUUUUUACACUACAUCAGAGGGCAAACAGUUAGUACAAAAACUAUUACAAGCAGCUUCAGAAAACACUUACCAACAAAAAAUGGGCUGAUAUAUUACAAAGGCCGGUUGUAUAUACCUGCUGAAAUUGGGUUGCGUGGCAUUUUGCUUGCCGAAUAUCACUCGACUCCUGUUGUAGGGCACUCAGGGCUCAAACCUACCAUGGCAAGGCUAGCUGCUUCUUUCGUUUGGCCUGGACAAUAUAAGGAAGCUAAAGAAUUCAUUAAACAUUGUCUUAUAUGUCAACAGAAUAAAUAUAUCCCAUUUAAACAACAAGGUAAGCUUCAGCCGUUACCCUUACCUCAACAAGUUUGGGAAGACAUAUCCAUGGAUUUUAUCACUUCCCUUCCCUCAUCUUGUGGGCAUAGAGUCAUAUGGGUCGUUGUGGACAGAUUGACAAAGUACAACCAUUUUAUGGCAUUGCCGACCCAUUUUACAGCCGCCCAACUGGCGGGGCGUUUUACCACAGAUAUUUUUCGACUUCAUGGGAUCCCAAGAACUAUUGUCUCGGAUCGCGAUAAGUUGUUUCUGAGUGUUUUUUGGAAUGAGUUCUUCCACCUGCAUGGUACAAAACUUUGUUUCAGUACUUCAUACCAUCCAGAAUCCGAUGGACAAACUGAAGUGGUUAACAAAUGAUUAGAAGCUUACCUGAGGUGUUUCACCAGUGACCAACCCAAAAACUGGUUCAAGUUUUUGUCUCUUGUUGAGUAUUGGUAUAACACUUCUAAACAUUCUGCCACAGACAUGACUCCAUUCCAGGCUCUGUACGGUAGACUUCCUCCGACUGUCAUGGACUAUAUUUCUGGUCGAGCUUCCGAUCCGUAUUUGAAUGUCUCUCUACAUGAGAGACAAAUAUUAAUCACUCGCUUAAAAACAAAUUUAUACAGAGCUCAGCAAAGAAUGAAGGCACAAAGUGAUAAAAAUAAAGGAGAUCGUACCUUUGCAGUCGGAGAUUGGGUGUGGUUGAAACUACAACUGUACCGCCAGCACACUGUAGUUCGGAGAACAAACCAGAAGUUGAGCAAACAAUUUUUUGGGCCCUAUUAGAUCCUCCGACGUGUUGGUAUGGUGGCUUAUGAACUAGCACUUCUAGAAGGUUCACAAGUCCAUCUGGUUUUUCAUGUUUCAAAGCUUAGACCUUUUUGGGAACCCCUCCCACUUGCACUUUCUCUCGGCCAUUACAAGUUCAAGAGGAAGGAAAUGGUAUUGUAAAAAUUUCGGAGAACAUAAAGAAGAAAGGAGACAAUGUUUUAGAAAUUCAAUGAGUAAUAAAGGGGAAGGUGAAAAUAAAAAUAUUGCAGUGGAAAACACAAUAAGUGACCAGAAUACUUCUCCUUUGGAACUAAAGAAUGAAGUUAUGAGGAACAAGGAAGUUAUGUGGGACACAACAGUUUUGAGUGACAAAACUGUACUUCCACGGAUUCCAAAUUUCAUUAAUGAAGAGUGUAAUUUUCAAAAGGGGUCUAGAGCAAUUAUUACUAGGGAUAAAAAAAAAAUAUUUACCCCGGUUCCUUCCCUCCAACGUCCAAGCAGCUGGACUCCAUUCAAAGAAAAGCCUGGAAAUAUGCAAGCACAACCUAGUGGAACUUUGCCACCUGUCCCAUGCAUUGAGCAUGACUUUAAUUGUUGGCCUAGAGCCCAAAGGCUCCCUACAACAUUAAUUGAUGGGGCAUUAAUUCCCACAAAUUCAGCAAAUGGUUCCACACCACCCAAAGGUGAAGCAACACGUGGAAAGCACAAUGAAGGUGGUUCAGCAAGUCAAAAGGCUCUAUCUCACUCCAAUGAACAAAAAUCUCAGCUUUCCACUCACCAAGUGCCACCUCAAAAUUCCUAUCCAAAGGAAUCCAAACUCCCUCCAAUUCCUUUCCACUUGGACUCCCAUGGUCUCCCAACAACAAUGGUCAAUUCCACCAACACGGUUCCAACUGGGCCAACCGAGUUGGGCUUUAACCUUGAGGACAAGGUUGGUCUUCAUGGGGAGAGUAUUGAUAGGCUGAAUGAUCUAGUUGAAGAUAUGAAUACAGUGAAUGGGCCUAAGUCCAGAAGGCAAAUUGUUACUCCUAAAUGGAUGGCAGAUUACAUUGUCAAUUAAAGUAUAUUUUGCAGUUUAUUUCUUUUCCCUUAAAAAAUAUCUAUCAAUCAAGAUGAUGCCAAGUGUAUGGCUAACAUCAUAAUUAGGGUUUGCUUAUUGUAUUUAAGCUUCAAUUGCUGCUAGCUGAAAAUAUAUGAAAAAUCUAGAGCCUUGCACAAUUUUAUCUUGCUUUCUUUUCAUUAAUCCAAAUUUUAAUCCUCAUUGGUAGAAAUAUCCUACCACUGCAUCUAGCUUCAGGUAUUGAAAGAGAGGAAGAACAUGGAAAGUAACACAAUGACAACUAAGGAUAUGAAACUUCAGAUUUCAUCUGGAAAUGAUGCCAUGUUAGCUAUGUUUUAAAAAUCCGGGGCGGUCACAAUUGCGGUUACUGUGAUUGCGGUCUUUGCGAUUGUUGUGAUGCAGAUUGCAGUCAUUGCGGGGUAAAUUAUUUUGUGAUCAAAAAAUAUUUUUCAAUCCAAUGCGGCCUCAUGCGGUCUGAUGCAGUUGCGUUGCGUUCCGAUACAACCACAUCAUUGUAAUUCAGAGUCAUAUCGCUAUUGCAGUGUGAUGGCAGUUGCGACGGUUACCACAACCACAAUAUUGGGGCCGGUCGCAUCAGGUGAUGCAGUCAGGUACAGGUACAGUAGUGGAGUUACAAGAGAACCAAGUAUGACCAAGACUUGUUGUCUUUGCUCUCCAACAACACAAGGUGAUUCAUUUAAGGCUAGUUUGGGAGUUAAAUUUUGGAGGGGAAAGAAUGGAAAUGAAAGGUUUGGAAGGUUUGGAAUGUUGGGAAUUCUUUAUGAUUGGUGAAAUACCAAUCAUAGGAUCUUGAAUCUCAUGAUUCUCACACAUAUAUGAAUGAAACAAAGGCGCAGUGUCAUACCUGAAUCCAUGUUCCUGGAUGUGCUCAUUUGAUCUACGUUUCUGAAAGAGGUUUUGUGGUAUGAUGGUAUUCCUCAACCAUAUCCCUGAUUCCUCUUGAGACUUGCGUUUUCACUCUGAUGGGGAGAGAAGAAAACUGAAUUUGAUUUGGCGUGUUGGAGACCAUAACCUUCCUUAUGCGUUAACUUAUAGGGUUCCUAUUAUCCCCUAUGGGUCAACCCGAUGGGUAUCCACCCAUUAAUCCCAUAUCCUUUAUCAACUUUUAGAAAUCUAAGGGGAGUCACUAAUUAGAUCAAUUAUAAUAUAACGUCGGAAAUAAAUAGAUGAUAUCAUUGUAUCAAAUAUAUGAUGCUCACUUUAAUUAGAAAUUAUAAAUUUCUAACAAUCUCCCACUUGGGCUUCAUUUCUUCCUGAAAAAAUUAUAUCACAGGUUCAUUAGGUGCGCAUCCGUAUGCUAUUUACAUUUAGAUUUUUCCUUAAUACAAUCUGGUCCAUCUCAUAUAUCAACUAUGAAAUUCCGCAACUUUCAUCACAUUUAAGUGUGACUCGACCAUGAUGAUCACCAUAUUAAUAUACUCAAUGACAUAGAUCAAAUAUGGAUGAGUGACAUGAAAAUUUCAUGCAAUAUGAUCUAAAACAUGUCUAUUUCCAACAUUUCCUUCUUUAUUCUUUAGUGAGAUCAAUCCAAAGUCUUUAAUUGCAACACAAUUCUUACAAUGCACAAUUUCAAAAUGAAACAAUAAACCAUCAACUUUAUUAUGCAUAAAAACUAUAUAAUAUCCAAAGCAAAACAUAAAACAUAUAGACUCCCACUGAACUAAGGUACCCUAAGGAACAACACCCAUAUGAGCAACAUGCUCAUGAAAGACUUUAGGUACCAAACCCUUAGGCAAUGAAUCAGCUAGCAUAAAAUUUGUCCAUAUAUGUUCUAUGAAAACUUGUCCAUUUUGAACACUUUCUUUAACAACCAGAAACUUUAUGUCAAUGAAUUUUGACUUUAUAGAAAUCCUAUUGUUGUUGGAGUAAAGAAUCGCGAACUUGUUGUCACAAUAAAUCCUCAAUGAUCUUUCAAUACCAUCGACCACACGUAAGCCAAUGACAAAAUUCCGCAACCAUAUGCCAUGGUCUGAUAUUUCAAAACAAGCCAUGAACUCUGCAACCAUGGUUGAAGGAGCUAUAUGCGUCUGUUUCGCAGACUUCCAAGAAAUAGCACAUUCAGCCAAUACAAACACAUAUCCAGAGGUGGAGUAUCUAAUGUCUAGACAUCCUACAAAAUUGGAGUCAGGGUACCCAAUGAUCUCUAAAUUCUCAGAACUCCGAUAAGUGAGCAUGUACUCCUUUGUUCUCUUCAAGUAACGCAUAACACGUUUGACCGUCUUCCAAUGAUGCAUUCCAGGAUUAUUCAAAUAUCUGCCCAAAACUCCCACAAAAAAUGCUAUGUCGGGACGUGUGCAAACUUGAGCAUACAUUAGAUUUCCUACUGCAGAUACAUAUGGAAUCUUUUGCAUCUCGUAUCUUUCAAUGUCAUUAUUGGGGCACUGUUUGAGAUUAAACUUGUCUCCCUUAGCUCUAGGGUUAUCCCCUAGUUUACUGUCUUUCAUGCCAAAUCUAACUAGGACUUUAUCUAUAUAGAUUUCUAGUGAUAACCUUAGGAUGCCUUGAGAGCGAGUUUCGCAGACUUCCAAGAGAUAGCACCUCUAGCCAAUACAAACACAUAUCCAAUGGUGGAAUAUCUAAUGUCUAGACAUCCAGCAAAAUCGGAGUCAGAGUACGCAAUGAUCUCUAAAUUCUCAUGCCUCUGAUAUGUGAGCAUGUACUCCUUUGUUCUCUUCAAGUAACGCAUAACACGUUUGACUGCCUUCCAAUGAUGCAUUCCAGGAUUACUCAAAUAUCUGCCCAAAACUCCCACAACAAAUGCUAUGUCGGGACGUGUGCAAACUUGAGCAUACAUUAGAUUUCCUACUGCAGAUACAUAUGGAAUCUUUUGCAUCUCGUAUCUUUCAAUGUCAUUAUUGGGGCACUGUUUGAGAUUAAACUUGUCUCCCUUAGCUCUAGGGUUAUCCCCUAGUUUACUGUCUUUCAUGCCAAAUCUAACUAGGACUUUAUCUAUAUAGAUUUCUAGUGAUAACCUUAGGAUGCCUUGAGAGCGAUAUCUCAGUAUCCGAAUACCUAAUAAGCUUCCCUAAGAUUUUUCAUUUCAAAAUUCUUCGUUAGAAAUCUCUUGGUCUCAUGCAAUAGUCUCAUAUCACUGCUAGCAAGCAGUAUAUCAUCUACAUAUAAUACCAGGAAGAUAAAUUUACUCCUAUUGAACUUAUGGUAUACACAAUCUUCAACUUUAUUUGCCCCAAAACCAUACAAGGUAAUAACUUGAUGAAAUUUGUGAUUCCAUUGACGAGAAGCUUGUUUAAGCCCAUAGACGGAUUUCUUUAAUUUGCAUACCAUAGACUUUGAGCAUACUGACACAAACUUUUCUGGUUGCAUCAUAUAGAUCGUUUCCUUAAUGUCACCAUUAAGAAACACAAUCUUAACAUCCAUCUGAUGUAGCUCUAAACCAAAAUGAGCCACUAGUGCCAAUAUUAUUCUAAAAGAAUCAUUCGAAUAUACUGGAGAGAAUGUUUCUUUAUAAUCAAUGUCUUCUUUCUAAGUGAAGCCUUUAGCUACAAGACGAGCUUUAUAUAUGUCAGUAUUACCCUUCGAAUCCCUAUUGGUUUUAAAUAUCCAUUUGCAACCAAUAGGUUUCGCACCUUCACGUAAUUCGACAAAAUCCUAAACGUCCUUAUCAUGCAUAGACUUCAUCUCAACCUUCAUGACAUCGAUCCACUUUUGAGAGUUAGAACUUUUCGUGGCUUGACAAAAUUUCAAUGGAUCAUCUUCUGUUAACCCAAUGUCAUCUUCAUGUUCUNNNNNNNNNNNNNNNNNNNNNNNNNNNNNNNNNNNNNNNNNNNNNNNNNNNNNNNNNNNNNNNNNNNNNNNNNNNNNNNNNNNNNNNNNNNNNNNNNNNNCAUAGACUUCAUCUCAACCUUCAUGACAUCGAUCCACUUUUGAGAGUUAGAACUUUUCAUGGCUUGAUAAAAGUUCAAUGGAUCAUCUUCUGUUAACCCAAUGCCAUCCUCAUGUUCUUGAAGAAAUACAAUAUAUUCAUCAGGAAUUGCACUUCUCCUCUCUCUAGUGGUUAUCCUUAAAGACACUUCUACUUCUUGAGGUUGUUGAAUUUGUUCUAUAGGUACUUGAGGGAGAACCUCAUUGUUGUCUUGUUCUGAAAUAUUGUCAGGGAUAAUAUUCUGAAGAUUAUCUUCUAUUACCGAAUUUAUUCCUUGAAUGGUAAUAGGCACAAGAACUUGUUCACUAUCAGUGUCAGGUUCUUCUUCAAAGACAACAUUCCUUAUGUUAUCUUCCUUCCCAAAAUCAACUUCCUCAAGAAAUGUUGCAUUUCCCAUCUUAAAAAAGAUUAUUGAAGUGGGAUCAUAAAAUUUAUAGUCCCGAGAGCGUUCAACAUAGCCAACAAAAUAAUAACUAACAGUUCUAGAGUCCAGUUUUCUUUCAUGCGGUCUAUAAGACCGCACCUCAUUUGGACAACCCCAAAUGUGCAAGUGUUUCAAGCUUGGUCUUUUAUUAGUCCAAAGCUCAUAUUGGGUUUUGUUAACUGCUUUACUUGACACCCUAUUAAGGAUGUAAACUACGGUCUUUAAAGCUUCCCCCAACGAGACUCUGGUAAGGAAUAAUGACUAAUCGUACUUCUCACCAUAUCCUUAAGAGUUCAGUUUCAUCGCUCAGCAACACCAUUCAUGCUAGGUUUGCCUGACAUAGUGUAUUGCGAAAUAAUUCCACACUCUCUUAGGAAAAGCACAAAUGGCCCUGAAUGUUGUUAUCCUGAUCCAUCAUAUCUGCCAUAGUAUUCACCACUACGGUCAGAUUUGACAGCCUUAAUUUUCUUUCCAAGUUGAAGUUCAACUUCAGCCUUGAAAGACUUGAAAACAUUCAAGGAUUGGGACUUCUCAUGUAUAAGAUAUAGGUAGCCGUACCUAGAUUAAUCGUCUAUGAACGUAAUAAAAUAAUGUUGUCUGUUCCAGGAAGCCAUAGGGAAAUGACCACAUAUAUUCGUAUGUAUUAGUUCUAAGACAUUUUUAGCUCUUUCGGCACCUAACUUCCUUUUGUUUGUCUGUUUCCCUUUAUGCACUCAACACAGACCUGAAAGUAUGAUAAAUCUAAAAGGUCAAGAAUUUCAUCUGACACAAGUCUUUGAAUUCUUUGUUUAGAUAUAUGACCUAAACGCUUGUGUCAUAAGGUGACUGAAUUCUCUUUUAAUUUUCGUUUUGUACCACAUGAACUUGUUUGUAGUAUUUCAUUAGUGGAACUNAACUGGAAACAUCAAGCAUAUACAGAUUAUCAAUUAAAGAACCAGAACCAACAACAUUUGAAUUUUGUUAGAGACUAACUUUAUUAUUUCCAAAAGAACAAGAAAAAACCAAAUUUGUCCAAGCUGGAAACACUAAUUAAAUUCCGCCUAAUAGACGGUACAACAAAUGUCUCAAGUAAAUCAAAAUGAAUACUAGUUCUUAAACAUAAUCUAAAUGUUCCAACAGCCUCAACUACAACCCUUUUGCCAUCACCCAAAAAGAUGAAUCUCCCAUCAUCACUUGGCUGUCGGCUCCAAGGCAACCCUUUCUUUACACGCCACGAUGCAUAUUUAGGACACUCUUUCUUCAUAUGUCCUUUCUUCUUACAGAAGUAACAGGUAAAUUCCUCACUACUCUUCAAUUUCUUUUGCUGAGAAGUCCCUCUCGCAGCAUCCUUAUUGCUCUUCCUUUUCUUAUUUUGAGGGGUCAUAGCCAAGUGAGCACUUUCGGUCUUAUCUCUCUGCAGCCUCUCUUCCUCUUGCACACAAUGAGAUUUAAGCUCAUUAAGGGACCAUUUGUCAGUGUUAUAACUCACUUUGAAUUGCCAAAAGUGUGCAGGAAGAGAGAUCAAAACCAAGUGCACGAGCAUGUCAUCACCAAGCUCUAACUUAAGUGACUUGAGUUUUGAUGUGAGAUUAGACAUCUCCAUAAUGUACUCCCUUAUAUUCUCUUUGCCUUUAUACUUCACGGAGAUGAUUUUAGCCAAAAGGCUACUCGUCUUCGCCUUUUCAUUCUUGGCAAAGAAUUGUUCUAUUUCUUCAAGGAACUUCCUUGAACUUUCACCCUCAGAUAUAGAGCCCCGAAACGCAUCUAGAAUAGAGCGUUUGAUGAUCAUCAGACACAUUCAGUUAGAGCGGUCUCAUUUCUCAAUUUUAGCCUCAUCGAAGUUUUCCACAGUGGAAAUGAGUUUCUCCACACGAAGUGUCAGAUCCAAAUCCAUACAGCCGAGAAUAACUUCUACGGCUUCCUUCCAGACCUUAAAGUUUGUCCCAUUCAGCAAUGAGAUGUUAGUCAUUUGAGCAAAUUUUUUUUCAGCAUUGGUAAAAGACACUGAAUCCAUGUAACAAAGAAUUAAUAACAUGUUCAUAUAAUAGACCCAUCACAAGAUACAUAGUACAACAUUAAUUUCUAGUCUUUGGACAGAUAAAUUAAUUUGUAAGUGAUACUCUCAAUGUAAAGAUCAAAUAUUAACAAUUAGUUCUGUCAAAUAAUAGCCUUUCUUUGGAGCGACUAUUAUUCACAUGGAAAAAAAACUUUAUAAUUCUUACAUAUUUAUUAUCACACAUAUGUUAUUAUUUGGCCAAAUUGUAUCUUCAUUUGGAUUUGGGCCGAACACAAUUCACAUAAAUAUUCUCAUACUCAUUUGUGUAAUUUCAAUUAAUUUCCACAGAUGUUACUUUGGCAACAUAUUGCAUCAAUUAAUUCAAAAUAAUUACCAAACAAUACAGGUUCAUCAUAAAAAAUAUAAUCUUGGAAUUAAAACCUUCAAAUUACCAAAUUUAAUCUCACAAUAUAAUUUCAAAUUAAAACAGUGCAAGCUAUUUAAAGAAAUAGUGCAAACAAAACAUUUGAAUAAAAACACUUGCACUUAUGUAAUAGCAACAUAAGUAACUAAAAAUAUUUAACCACAAUCCUAUGAUUCAGAGAAGAAAAAACCAAAGUUGCAAGCAAGAACCAUUCAGAAGUCACAUAAUUAAAAAAACUUCAAAUCCAUCCAGUAUAAUUAUUAAACUCUCGAACUAACCCUUAGGCGUAAGCUUCCCCGCCCCGAGCCUCCAGAGAACCAAAAGCAUUGAUCCACCAACAUUGUGUGAUUAGGCAUCUAUUGUUCAUGCCACUGGUGAUGAUGCCAACAAGGAUUAGAUGCAUUGUUGUUAGGAUAAAAUGCACCUUUGAUCCCUCAACUUUCUCAGUUGCGCGAUUAUAAGGGGACUAAAAUGGUAUGCUUGAGAAAUUUGAGGGACCAGAACUGCAUUUUAGGCUUAUUACAUUGAAUUAUAUUUUAUUUGUUUACGUUGCUAUAGUUGCUCCUGUCCAGUGCUUACUAGUCAGUUAUUUUAUGAACUACAACUUUCUUGUUUCUGCUGUCUAUUGUAUUGAUGAUUGAUAACACUAGCAUAUUAUAUUUGUAAAGGAAUUAUUCACUGGACUUGGAAUGCUGUGAAAAUGUGUGAUUAUGCAAUAGAUAUGGAUUGUUCCAUAACUUAUUAGCUAGUUCUGCAUAAGAACAAGAAUCAUUGUAGUGAGCUAGAAAGUUGAAACUUUAAUGUGGUGAUAUUUUCUUCUGUCAUGUUCUGUUUUGUUUUUGAGGAAUUCAAGUAUACUGUACCCUGAUCCUGAUUAUGAAAAAUUACAAUCUGAUUAUGAGCUCUGACCACUGAGAAUAUACAUUUUCCUGGAGCAUGGAAACAAUCAUUGACAUCCAACAUUACCAACUUGACAUAGUAUUAUUUAGAAGCCUGCUUGCACAUGAUUUUGUUCACAAAGUUAUCUCUGAUUCAAUUUAAAAUUAUCAAAAACGGAGCAGUGAGCAAUGGUAAAUAGGAGAUUUCAUUAGGGUGUUAGACAUGAUGGUAUACUAGACUGAUGAUUAAAUUUGUAAUUAGAGCUAUUGAAGAAGCCAACAGAAUAACACAGGAAACUAUACAGCAAUUGACCAACUAAAGUACACAAUUUUGUCAAUGAUAAUCAUACCAACUAGCAUUGAUCAAAUUCUAUAUCAUAGUUGACAUGCUCUCAUAACAGCUGGACAUGGCCAAGGAAACAUUAAUGAGCAAUGAUCAUGAUUGUAACAAUGGUGAUAUAGACUACUAGUAUGCCACUACAUGAUUCUCUUUGUGAUUUUAGAAUUUGUUGAAACUUCAAAGUAUUACACAGUAAGAGGUCAGUUUCAGUUUGCAAGAUUUAACUUUGGUAUCAAGGGACACAUAAUUCCAAAGAUAGUAUAAAAACCAAAUUAAUGAUAAUAAUUAGAGACCAGAGUAUAAGGAGAAUGAAAGUAACAAUUGGUCUAUUCCAAUUAAGAAGUCAACUGAUCACCUACAUUCAGAGAAAUUAAAGAAAGUCAUUGAAAUGUGGCUUUCAGGGCUUUGUAUUAGACAUUGUUUCACUAACAAUGACUAGAUUUUCCUAAAAUGGAGCAUCUUUUGGUGUUUUUUUGUUUGUUAUGUUAGUGAUUACAAAUAUGUACAUGUUAUUAAUGUGUUUAUUUGGAUAGUGUUCCAUCCCAUAUUCCAAAUGGGUAUUGGGGGGGUCAAGAGUGGUCCAAUAAGUCAACUGGUCAAACUAAUAUACUAUGACCAACAAUCUAGUGUGCAGAGUAGCUUAUAAGGGAAAACUCCCCCAUGGACCCCUACGAGCCACUAUAAGCCUACCAGACUGACUAAUAGAACAGGAUCAGUAUAAUAUCAUUGGACCUUCCUUCCUGACAAAAUAAGCCCAUCCGGAUCAGUAUAAUAACAACACACAAAAAGUAUCGUAUGUCCUACAUCUCUAGGUAUCUCAGGCCCUCACUACAAAUAUUGAUUUGAGCGUCACCCUUUUUGAGAUACUCACCUUUCAAUCUGAUUCAACCUAAUCAAGGCACCCCAAGGCUGACUUCAACCAGUUUCAAUCCAGACUCAUCCUUGCCAAGCCAUUCUUCCUCCAUACCAAAGAACGGAUAGAACCACACUGAAUCAUGUAUACAUCAAGUAGUUCUAAGGUGUCUUUGUUUAAUUAUUCUCCUUAGAAGUAAACAUAUAAUAUCAAUGGCCAUAUGGCGGAUCUUAUUCUUUCUUGUAUAGGCAGCUUUUUAUAGCACAUAAUCUUUUUUUCAAUACUUAUGUGCCACAACACAUCAAAUAUUGUCCAUGAUUCAGGAAGGCUUAGAUGAUCUGUAUCUGUAUGGAUACAAAUUGAUAAGACGAACCAGAUAUUACAUCAUUGCAUUAUGUCAGAAACAUGAAAGUACCCAAAAUUAAUUUUGUCAAUAGUGUCAAGACCAAGUAGCUACAGCACAGAUGACAAGAGAUGGUGUUCCAGAUUUGUAGACAAACACAGCCCCAUUGGCCCCACUAUUUGUCACAUACGCUUAAGAUUUUUGUUCCAACUUUUGACACAUGAGAUUUACCAAAGAGAUUUCCCCUCAUUGAGAAAAUCUUUUUUGUUAUUAUUAUAGGUUACAUCAACAUUGCACAUUUAGACUCUUGGAUUUUCCUACAAGUUACAAGGAAUUUUGAAGAAAGAAAAAUAGUGUAUAAGUUACCCUCUAAAUCAUCAUUACCAUUACCAACUGGAAAUUGAAACUAACAGAACACACUCAAUUCUUUUCAUUGACACUUCUAUUGGUAGACCACAACUUACUAAGCAUUUUUUUGGGUUGAGUAGGAAUAGCACAGAAGGACUUAAAUCUAGAAUUUCUGCCAAUUCCAUUUGGGAGCGAAUCGUUUUCAUCUAAAUCAUCCUCCUCAGCUAGCUUCAUCUUUAGCGUUGAAGACCUUGACUUUGGUGACUUGAAUCCAGAAACACUCCAAUUGUCCUCAGCAUGUAUACUUGUGGUAGUGCUCAAAGGUGCAGCAUAUUUUGAUAGAUCAAUACCAUGUGUUGUGAGUAAUUCCUUGAUAUUGCUCGGCAAAUCGGUCACUUUUCCACCAGCUGCGGCUGCUCUAGCUUGCUCAAAGAAGAGAACUUGUACAACAACUCUCAAGGGGAGUAGCUCAUUCUGUGCAGCAUGCAUGCAUGCUUCCAUAGACAGUUUUUUGCAGUCAAGAAUUCGACAUAGUCUCUUUCUUUCGCUUUUGUUGAGUUCUGGAUGAGCCUGGAUGUUACCAAUUAACAUAAUAAAUUUUAGUAAUGCAAAUAAGACAUCUCCAAUCUCCACAAGCCAUAAAUUUUAAUAUAAUACCUUUCUUUCUUCCAUGGUCUAACUUUUACUACUACUAGAAUAUUUAUAUGAAAAAAUAGCAAAUAAAAUUGUUUUAUAACUAUUUGAAAAAAAGAAGAAACUUUGGAUUGCUUAAUAAGACGAAAUAAUAAAGAAGGGAACCAUGGUAGUGUUUUUCAAAUACUACUAUAGUGCAAAGGAGCCGACAGCUAGACAUGUUACAUCAUAUUUGAGGUGGAUAAAUGGUCCAAAUCUGUCAUUGAAAAUGUGGGAGACACAUAAUCAACCAUGUCAAGUACAUUAAGAACAUGUAUCUCCCUUUCCCUUUCUCCCUAACUACUGGACAUACUAGUAGAAAUAUGAUGCAAAUUUAUCAAAACUUUGACAGGUAGUUUUAUCUUCAUGUUACCAAAUGAAAUCACAAGCACCUGAAUACAUACGGCAACUAUAUAAGUUAGAACUUGAACAUAUUCAGGCUAAAUUACUGGUGGGGCAGUCUACACCUAAUCACCAAUAAAUGUUCAAUAGGACAAGAUUUUAUGUCAAGAGAGUUGGUUAUUCACUAAUUCUGUCCCAUAUCCUAAACCCCCCCCCUUAUUUGUGAACAACUUAGUUACUUUUAUCUUAGUACAAAAAUAAGAUAAAAUGUCAUUUUUGUUAGAAUAUUUACCUUUAGAUAAAUGUCAAUAGCUCUGUAGAGAUCAUCAUGAUCAUGUCUUGCAAACUCUGGUAAAAUUUCAGCAAGAGCAAUGAAUUUUGACAAGGGAAAAUUAACAUCCCUGGCAACUUCUUGAAGGUACCUAUCCACAAGCUUUGCUACCUUCAAUUUUGCACUGUGAGAUGCUGAAGAGGACCUCCUGCUCUCCUGGAAUUCACAGUUAAUAUUCUCUGCGGAACGAGAUCGCCUUCUUUCGAAGGCUAGCCUGGACCUUGGAGGGCUAGUUGGAGGACUCUGCCCUUGUGAUAUAAACUGUUCCAAUAUUGUCAUCACCAACUCAACAUCAUAGAGUGUAUCAUUUGUGUAAGAUAGUGAUGGUAUUAAAAGAUCAUUCACUGUGGCUUCCUCCAACUGAAGUCCUACCCUUGAAGCUAAUUCUGUCUUUGAAGAUGAAGAGGCAUUAAGAAUAUUGGAUGCCUUCAAGAGUUUAAGAAGGAAGCUACAAGAAACAGCACCUUUCUCUGCUGGAAGCAAGCUUACUAUUGAUUCCAAAAGAAGACGAUGCUUCGAAGUUAUUUCAGUGGCCGAGUCUGAUGAGUCUGAAUCAGAUGAAGUUUGCUUCUUGACAUGUCCAUUCCUUUGAAUAUUUGGUAACCAUCUUGAUGCAUAAAUUUUUAAUGCAUCACCGAUGAGAUCCGAGGGAACCUUGCCACUUGAUUUGAUUGCUAUCAUGGUUCUCCAAUAAAGGUCUAUGCUCAAUUCAGCUAAAUCUUCAGCCCACCAUCCCUUGCUUGAUGAUUUAUGAUGUCUAAGGCUUUCAGUUCCAUUGCAAGACACAUCAUCCCUUACCCUUCUAGAAUGACUAUGUGACAAACUCACCUUUGAAGGAUUUUUUAACACUUUUGAGGCAACAGCUUCAAGGCAUCUGCUUGUAAUAGCCAAGUCCUCUGACCAUAAAGGCAUUCCUUUAGUGGUCUGAAGUGCCACAAUAGAAUCCUUCCAUCCAUGAAGAAUGCAGGAAUUGAAGAACACCUCAAGCUUAUAAAUUAGGUUCCCCUUCUCAACAUCCUCAAUCAUCUGUAGGUAUUCGGCGGCGCACCGUGCAGCUACAAUGUUGUAAGGACUGAGAGUGAUGGUAAUUCCAUAGCAGAACUUAGCACAAAGCUCAAAUGCCUCCACCCCACCAGGGAAAUCAGGGAGCUGGACUAUUUGGUGCUGAGGAGAAUCAGGAGAUUCAGAACACAUCCUUUGCAGCUGCAAACAUUUGGAUAGCAGUGGAAACUGAACAGCAUCAACAUGAACUUCAGAUAAUUUAUGAGUAACAACAAAGAUACAAAUACAUAGAAAUGAAAAGGAAAUAAAAAUGAGAUUUUUCUUGUUAUUAUAACUUACAAUAAUCAGAAGUUAACAAACUUUGCACUUUCAAGGAGAGCAUACCUUAUGAAGAAGAUAUCUACUUCCUUUAACUUGAAUUAUGAGGUCACUGGAAACUUCAGAAGACACUGACCUGCACAAAAAAAAAUCUUAUUACUUAUUUUCAAGGAGAUAGAUCAUCUAUGAAGAAAGAACCAAAAAUCUCAGUUAUGUUCUUACCUUACUGCCUCUGCAGUGUAGAAGGUGUCUGGACGAGAUCCUAGUUUCAUGAACUUCAUGGCUGCGAAGUUUCUUAGCCUCUAAAUCAUGUGCAUAAUUGAUUCAGUGUAGCAGAACACAGAAGAAGAAUUGCAUCAAUCUAAAAGCUUUUGAAAGAUGCUCUACACAAAGUACCAAGUUGUAGAUUACUUAUUUGCAAGCUCAAGUGGAUACUGGAGUCUGGAUACUGUGACCUCACACAGUGUCAGAGACCUUAUAAUAGAAAACUUCACAAACUCUGAAAAAUAUUUUAAAAUAAAAAAAAUAUAGAUAGAAUUUCACUGGAGGAGAGAAGAUGUAAAAGCUCUAAGAGGAACAAGAGGUUUGUUGUGGGAGCAAAAUAAUAUAUUGUAGUUUAAAUAACUAGUAUUGAUUGCAUAAAUGGUCAAAUGAAAGAAACACUGAAGAUCAAAGCACACCUAAUGACUUAAGUUCUGUCCUUUCAGUCAAUAGUUAUUGUACACUUUUAUUUAUACUCAUAAUUAAUUUUAACAUUUUAAAUAAAAGGAUGAAAUAGCAAUGCAAUCUAUAAAAUAAAAUAAUUGUGUAAUAUCUAUACACCGUCAAUAUAAAGACAAAAUUUUCUAAUGAGAUUUGUGAAAUAUCUAUGGUAUUAUUAGAAAAGAGUAAAAUAAAAUAAGGUAGGGGUUCAGAGUUGAGACAUGAGAUUUGUGUUUACAAGAAAGGUAAGGGCAUCUGGAUACUCUCCCAAUACAGAAAGUGCCAAUAAGUCAUAGAAAAAUUGACAUGGGAAAACUGUGUAACAUAUUUUUUCUCUCCUUUGCUUUGUUACUUGAAAGAAGAAUAUGAUAUUAGAUGCUUUAUUUUCUUGCAACUAUAGGGACAUGCCAUUGACAGCGUGCAAUUCUAAAGGCAACUCCCACGUGCUUAUCCUGCGCCCACUUGUGCCCCAUAUUCUCAUCAUUGCUACCGCUAAUUUUUUCAAUUUUCUUUUCAUUAAUUUUUUUGGAUUUUCUUAACUACCCUACACAUAACUAAAUACUUUUUUUGAAAUGAUUAUUAAAAAAUAUGUUUCUAUUUUUCAAGUAAAAUUACCUACCUUCUCCACUCAUUUUUUAAAUCGUGGGCACUCUCAUAUUAUUUAGGUCAAGCACUAUUUUAUUUUAUACAUAACAUCAUAUAUCUUUUUGAAAGAGAGAAUAUUUGUUAGAAUAUAAUUUAUCUAUACGUAUUAAUAAGUGCCUACAAUAUUUAGAGAAAAAAAUGACAGGAAAUGUUAAAAAGAAGUAAUGAGUUUUUGACAAAUUACUUUUAUCUAUAUUAGCAUUACUUUUUAUUAAAUUUAAGUAUACAAUGGAAUUAUUAUUUUUAAAGGGUGAAUGCUAAUGAAUAUGCAUCAUUCAAUCUUACUCAUAUUCUUUUAGUCUUUUCUUUUUUUGUUGAUGUCUUACAGAGUUAAUAUUUAAUUAUAUUUUUUCCUUCUAAUUAUACAUCUUAUUCAUUCAAUUUAUCUCUCCAUACCAAAUACUCAAAUAAGUUCAUUUUCACAUGUUUCAAUAGUUUGGUGUAGAUGAUUGGAAAGUUUAUUGUAAUUUAGUGUGAUAAAAUGAUUAACUUGAUUAGUUGUAAUAAAUAAUAUAUGGUAUCUUUGAAUUUGUAACAAAUAAGUUUGUCUUUUCCUAUGAGGAAUACUUGUUAGGAAAAACAGUCACACACCCCAAAAGAAAUUAGCUCUUUACUUAAAAGGUGAGGAUAUAUCUUGAUAAUACAAAAAAAAAUAAGUUUGUCUACUCUUAUGGACAUAUAUAUAUACAAGAUGAAUAAGAUAAGAGUUAUCAUUUCAGGAUAAAUGCAAUUUAUAUUAUACAGAUAGAUGUUGAAGGCAUGGAUGAGUAUUGUCCCGUAUGCCUUCUAUGAAUAACCUAAUUGGCAUUCUCUCUAUUUUUACUUCUCUUUUUGCUUUUUGAUGAGCAUUCAUUUUCAUUUAUUGCAAAUGGUCCUGGAGAUUGAAACUUUGCCUAUUAUUGGAGUGAAACCCAGAAACCGGAGGAAGCAUGCUCAUGAAAUGUUGGAGUUUAAUUACGAAAAGUCAAGCUUUUUGGUUGAAAUUUAAGCCUUUUGUUGCUCAAAUACAAAUGGUUAAUUAAUCUGGCAGUUGAGGGUCAUCUUCAAACUUUGUUUGGCUUUGGAUUCUCAUGAUUCAAUGACUUAUGAUAUAUUUGUAGACUUUUUUCUGAUCAUAUCAACUAUUAAGGAACAAUUAGAUGAAUUGGCGUGGGCCCUUAGAUCGAAAGAAAAAUAGUGAGUUAUGAUAAUUGGUUUCAUAUCAUACAACCAUGAACAGGUAGUGAAGUAUAAUUUAUACGAUUUUUAUACUUCAUAUAUCAAAUUUUAGUUGUCAGAAUUAUUACAAAAGUAAUAAGAACCCCACAUUGUUACAUUGGCUCCACUAUAUGUAAAGGUUGAGCUCAAUAUAGUUUUGUAGUAUAUAAGGUCAUGAUGGAUCAUAUGAAAAUAAUCAUUAAAAGAAGAAUAAUGAAAAUUUUAGGUCCUACAAAUUCAAGGCUGAUAGGGUGUCAACUAAUCUUUGGUUCUUCUACUUUGGUCCUUGGCUUCAUUACAAUGUGAUAAGGUUUGUAUUUCUAAAAGUUGUUUAUCAUCCAAAACUCAAUGUAAAAAGAAGAAAGAAAGAAAGUGAAGAACAUCAAUUUUCUCUCUCUCUCUCUUCAACGUUUCAUAUUUUAAAUUAUUAAAGAAAGUCUUACACUCCCAAUCUAUUUUUUUUACUUAGUUAUUAGAUUAGGUGAAAACUGGGAUGGGGUUAAUUUCCAAACGGGGAGAUUCUCUCAACUAAAAAAAGAAAUUAUCAGUUUUCUUAAUAUCCAAGUUGACAACAUCAUUUGGGUUAUGGUUAAUAAAUGUUAAAUUUAAGAUAAAAUGGUUAAAUAAAAAAAGGACCUCAAUUGAUUUUUAAUUUAAUUUUCAAACACUUUAAUCCCAUGCCAGUUUUCAAACACUUUAAUUGAUUUUGAAGAUUUUGAAGAGUAUCACAAUCACUCUAUUCAUCAACCCAUUCCAACCACUCUUCUCGGACAACAAUGAAGAGUGUCAAAAAAUGAGGAUGCGUAGAAAUAGUGACGAUCCAUAAAAAAUAAUAAUAACUGAUAACAACUUUUAAUAGAUGAAAAACAUAAAAUUAGAUUUAAAAACUCAAACCAAAAUUAUAAAACUCAAAACCAAUCUUAUUUUUUAAAAAAAAUUCAAAACUAAAAUCAAAAGUGACCACUAAUCGCCUUAAAUUUGUUUAAUCAUAUAUGAAUGCAAAACAAAGUCUUAAUUUUUUUUCGCCAUGGUGAAAUUCAUGCUAAAAGCUAAAAGCUACAUAACCAGUCACUUUUUAUCCGAUUUAGAGCAUCUACAAUAACAGUAGUGAACAAUAUUUUCAUUCUUAUUUAAGAUACAUUAUUUUAUAAUUUAUUACAACUCCCUAUAAAAUAAGAAUAACAUUUACUUUUUUCUCACAAUGACAAACAUUAUUCUUAUUCUUAUUUGGUCCUACAACUAGCCUAAACUUUUAUAUUUUAUAAAAUAAGAAUAACAUUUAUUUUUUUCCCACAAUAACAAACAUUAUUCUUAUUCUUAUUUGGGUCCCACAACUAGCCUAAACUUUUAUAUUUUAUAAUAAAUAUAGCAAAAUAUUAGGAAUAAUUACUUAUUUAUUAAUAAAUUAAAAUUUGUUAUAAAUAUUAGAAAUCAAUUAUAAAUAAAAAAUUAUAAUUUUGUUGUUGACAUAUACGUAAUUGGUGGAAUUUUCGUUCAAGGAAGGUAAAUUGGGUUUCUUCGAUUUUUUUAAUUUUCGUUUCUGCAAAAUUUAAUUUUUUGUAAUAAUUCUAGAUGUUUUGAUGUUUUUUGAUAUGUUGGUGCUUGUAUUUAUUUAUAUAUUAUGUAUUUUCAUUGCCAUUCUUUCUUAACAAUUAAUGUUCUUAUUUAGUCACUUUUAUUCUUAUUUAAGAAAAAAACGCAAGGAAUAAAAACAGCACAGUGGAGAAUAAAAUAAGAAUGUUCUUAUUCUAUUAAAAAUAACCUUAAGAACAACUACUGUGGAUGUUCUUAGUCUUCAGUGCAGUUUUAGAAAACAGGACAUGCAGAAUGCUCAUAAAAAAUAUAUGUGAUAUGUAUAUUCCAAAAUAGAGCUCAUUUAAAAUUUUAAAAAAUUAUUGAAAAAUAAUUUGGAUAAGUAAGGGAUGUUUGAAAGUGAUGUUUGUUUAUUGAGAUCAAAUGUAAUAUCAGCCAAAUGAAUCACUAUCUUUAUAUAGGAAUAAAGUUAUAUAACACAGAAAUACAAGCGAUAUGAUACCAUUCAACAUAUAACACUUUACCAUUAAAACAAUUACUAGAUUAUUCAAUGUGAUGCUAUAGAAAAAUGUAACAGGGAAGCAAGACAAAGAGAAAAAAAACUACUAAUUAAAAUAAGUUAAAUAACUAUUUCUCAUCCUUUACUGUAUCUUUAUUCUUCAUAAAUACCUACGCUUAAAACAAGAAAAACUUCACUGUCCAGCACGAUAGAAUCUCAUUGUCAUCCUACCUAAGUGCAGUGUGUAUUUCUAGGACAUAAAAUUAUUCAUAAAGCGAGUCUCUAAAACGACUGAAUAUCAAUGUAUUUAAUAAUUUACAUAAAUAUAUCAAAUUCAUUCAUUAUCAAAUAAUACAUACAUCCACCAACAAGCAAAUGUUAUAAGAUUUGGUUUGAAUCCCAAAUAUCAUAUAAGACUAAAGACCAAUAAUAAUUCAAGUGAAUAACACUUGUUAAGACCUAAAAACACGCUAUGAGAUAUAUUAAUUUUUUACCCACAUAAUAUAAGGAUAUAACUAUGCUUAAAAUACAUUAAUUUUUUUCUUUGCAUUCAAUAAAGUGGACGUGAAUUUACCCCUACAAAUUCGCAAUAUAAUUUUAGCGCAGCCUAGUGAAGGGCAUGGCCUAUGUGUCAGCAAGGUGAUAAAGUUGAACUAAACCCAUUCUCGCAGAGGCAAGAGAAUAAGAAAUCAUAGAUAAUGGUGGGCACUAGGAUUUAUUAUGAGAAAGGAGUUUGAGCUUAAACGCCAGAAGCUGGGCACCAGUUUUGUGUUUAGCCAAAACAAAAAAGGGAGCAUAAAGUCAUAAACAGACACGCUGUGAAGGUCUUGGCUCAAUCAGUGUCUGGUGGAUUCCCAGACCAAGAGAUCGUGUUGGCUCAAUCAAUGCUUCGUGUGGGUGAAAUAAAUGGUACCAAAUUAAUAAGGGAAUUUAAUUUGAGGGAAAGAAAUGGAAUUGAAAAAGAGUGGGAUAUUGGGGAAUACAAGUAACAAAAAAGGAAAAGUAUGAAAAAGAAAUGUGAAUAAAGAUGGGUGUGGGAUGAGAGAAGAGAGCCACAGACGCUGCUGUUAAUGGGUCGUUCUCAAUGCCGCCCAUCAGGGUUGCCAACAAACACCGUGGGACCUUAUAUUCUUUACUACCCCUUACUUUUGGGACCCUCCUAGAAAUUAUAUAUAACCGAGAUCCAACCAAAAUUUCACUAUGAAUUAAGUGAAAAAUAUAUAAUAAUGAAUGAGUUUUACAAAGAUAAUAUUAUAUGAAUUGAUGAAUGAUGUAAUAAUUGUGUAUAAAUAUUACACUCUCUAAAUUUAAUCUAAUAUAUUAUAACUUAAUGCUGGAAAUAUGAUUGAGAUCAUUAUAAAUUAUAGUAUUUAAUAAUCUCUCCUACUUCUACCCCUCCCAUUCUAUCUAUGUGCUGUCGUAAACAUUUAGACAGGAAGAUUUUAACAUAAAUUUGACAUCCUUAUCAUUAACCAUGAUAAUUAGCAAUUAAAUAAGUAAUUGCAAUAUAAUUUCGUUAUUUAAAAUCAUGUAUUUAUAACUUUAGUUUAGUAUAUACUUAAAUGCAUCUUGCAAAUAUUUCUCUUCCAUACGCAAUCAACUAAUCAAUUCCUACGUGAUAUUAGAAUUCGACCAGUGUAAAGGACCAAAAAUAUUUUUAAUAUAAGUACCAAAAGUCCGGUGGAAAUUACAAAAUGUUUAAUGUAUUUAGUCACUAAUCGAAAAAAGAAGGCGAAAUUAUUCAAAGUGAGUAAUACUACUAAUUGAGUUUUCGUGGGUUGGAAUGCACUAACAGGUGAUUGUGAUAUGAAAAUAAAUUUCGUCUUCCGAUAGUCACGUGAGCAAACCACAAAUAGUUUUCCUCCUCGACUCAUCAGUCAUUUGAAUAAGUCAAUUAUUGAUUGAAAUAUGUAAUGAUGUAAAGUUUUCUGAAUCUGUUGUAUCAGGUAGGUACUUGGAAAAUUGUGAAAAUCAUCCUCCGAUUGUUUCUUUGAUGAAAUAUUUAAUAAUGAUAUACGUAUGAUACCUGCCAAAUGUUUUCAUCUGCAGAAAGAUUACCUAAAAAUAUGACAAUAUAAUUGUACAAACAAAAAGACAAUUGCUAUAUAAAAUACUAAUCGUAUAGGAGAAAGAAACUAAAAAAUAACGAAGCACGAUAAAGUUACUCAUGAAUCUGUUUGUUUGGAGGCUUGUAAAGAGAAGAAAUCAUGUGAAGGAUAAAACAAAGACAGAACAAGUAGCUAGGAAAAAGGGAGUUCAAUUUCAGGGAUGAAAGAGACAGUGCUAUCGUGCAAUAUGCAUUAUUUAACAACUAUAAGAUUUUGGAGUAAUGCAUUAAAAAAACAUAUGCAUGUAUGACUGUAUGAGUAGGACAGGUCAGACUGAAAUCAAGGUCUUGGAUCCCUAUGCUAUGCAAUUGUGGCUAAGCUUGACAAGUUAAUUUUGCAACUUUAUUUGGUGUUGAAAAUGGUACAACUUUGAUUAAUCCCUUGUGAGUAGUUGAACAAAUUGUUAAUUGACACCUAAAACUGAAAUGACUUGAGAGCUAAUUAUGGCUGGUCGGUUCACAGAGAUUACACCCGACAUAACCCAUCUUAGCUAAUUGCCGGUCUUGCAGGUGAAAAGAAAAUAAUGCAUGCACAUCAUAAUGGUUUAUAUCUUCAUUACAAGUUACGUAUCAAAAUCAAAAUUAUAAUCUACAAAAAUUAUAUAUCCUUACAACAAAAUAGUAAAAAAAAAUCUUCAAGGAAUAUGUCAUGACUUCCUACACAACUAAUACUGUCACUUAAAUUUCAUGUCACUUUUUUUAACAACUAUUAUCCUUAAAACCAGAAUAAUUAGUAGUUUAUAAAUCCAAAAAAGCAAUGAUAAAUAAUGUUUUAGGUGUUAGGAAAGAAGUCUCUAGAAUAAAUAAUAAAUUAGCUAAAAUAGAAGGUAGUUAGUUAUAAUAAGUUUUGGUGGUUACCGGUAGUUAUAACUUUUAGGAAAUUUAAAUUUGUAUAUACGGCCUUUGUAUUCCUCGUAAACACACACAAGUUAAUCAAUAAUACAUAACGUUUGUAUUUUCCAUUCCAGUUUCGUUUCAUCUCUUUCUGCUUGCAAUGCAUAUCAAUUGUUUCUCUGGUUGGAGUGCACAUUGCUUGGUAUGUGCUUUCAUUCAUUUUCUAUCUUUUGUUUCUGCACAGUCUUCUAUUUCUUCUUUGCAUUCUUGGAUGCCAUCUUUCUAACAUCACUGUUGUGGCCAUGAAACCCACUUUAUGUAACAAAUUUUGUUUGCAUUAGAGCACAUACUUACAAAUCCCACAAAGCUAAAGAACCAAGUCAAUAGUGCAUGUCAUGGCUGGUCAUAUCUACAUGGUGCAUGUGUCUUUAGAACUUUAUUCUUUGAACAGUAACACUCCAGAGUCACACAAGGACCAGCACUGGUCAAAUGAUAUUGCCCAUUGAUAAAAGCAAGGAUUAGCAAUUAUAAAAGAGUCUCUUUCAGCUUUUCUCUAAUGUGGCUACCAUUGCUUUCUCAUUUCCCUAAGGUGUGCCAACAUAUAUCUAAUUCUCUAUAGUCUCUCCCAUCUCCAUCUUGUGGGGUCUCCUUGUCUCUCAUAAAUACUAAAAAGUGAUUUAUACUUACUUACCUUAGGUAAUAGUAUUUUUUAUAAGGAAAAGAAUUGAAUUAACCCUGUAAUGUAAAAUUUCAUUAGAUAAAAUAUUGAAAGCUUAAUGCAUGUGAAUAAAGAUGGUAUCUUGUAUACAUUUUUGUUUCUUGUAAUAAAUUAAAGGCGGUGUCUUGUAUGUAUAUACAUAAUAUUAUUUUUAAUAAGAAAACAAAUUUAUUGAAAUCAAAUAUAAAAAAUGCUUGAAUCAUGGUACACCAGACCUAAAUUCAGUAGCACCAUCAAAUUACAUCAAAAUUUUCAAUACCAGCCCCAUAUUCAUUCCCAAAUCAGAGAGGGUCAUUUAUUAAAGUUGCUAAUUAAAUUGUGAGAAUGUAGUGAUAAUUCAUCUUGUUAAUUUUUUGGAAUAAAAAAAUUAAAUAGUAAAAUUAAAUACUUCUCUUCCUAACAGUAUUGAACUGGACUUCGUCGAAAAGAAAUUUCCACCGGCUAUGUGUUGUAACGCAUUUAUAACUCCAAUUAAUUUGCACUAUUAACUAGUACAUUUAAAUCAGAAGCAUAUUGUAAUACUUUAAUCACAUGGUACUAGGCUUUAUUUAGUCAGAGACAAAUGCAUAUAAAACAAAAUAAUCCUAAUAACCAACGAACAAAUUUGGGUCGAAGUUUUUUAUAUCAGCCGUUUAGGGUUCAAUUAAUAGGGAGUGUUGUGAAUUAAUGGAAUAUUAUACUGUAGUUAAGAACUUUGUGUUAAAUGAAUAAGAAAAUAAGAAUUAAGAAAAUAACAUUUAUAUUCAAAUGACAUUUAAUAUCAAGAUUCAAUAAAAUCAAGAUUCAAUAAAAUCAAGAUUCAAGAAAAUCAAGAUUCAAGAAAAUCAAGAUUCAAGAAAAUCAAGAUUCAAGAAAAUCAAGAUUCAAGAAAAUCAAGNNNNNNNNNNNNNNNNNNNNNNNNNNNNNNNNNNNNNNNNNNNNNNNNNNNNNNNNNNNNNNNNNNNNNNNNNNNNNNNNNNNNNNNNNNNNNNNNNNNNUCAAGAAAAUCAAGAAUCAAGAAAAUCAAGAUUCAAGAAAAUCAAGAUUCAAGAAAAUCAAGAAUCAAGAAAAUCAAGAUUCAAGAAAAUCAAGAAUCAAGAAAAUCAAGAUUCAAGAAAAUCAAGAAUCAAGAAAAUCAAGAUUCAAGAAAAUCAAGAAUCAAGAAAAUCAAGAUUCAAGAAAAUCAAGAAUCGAGAAAAUCAAGAUUCGAGAAAAUCAAGAUUCGAGAAAAUCAAGAAUCAAGAAUCCAGAAAAUCAAGAUUCCAGAAAAGAAAAUCAAGAAUCAAGAAAAUCAAGANNNNNNNNNNNNNNNNNNNNNNNNNNNNNNNNNNNNNNNNNNNNNNNNNNNNNNNNNNNNNNNNNNNNNNNNNNNNNNNNNNNNNNNNNNNNNNNNNNNNUCAAGAAAAUCAAGAAUCAAGAAAAUCAAGAUUCAAGAAAAUCAAGAAUAAAAAAAAUCAAGAUUCAAGAAAAUGCUUGGUGUUAAAAAUUUGAGUUUGUUUAAUUUGUUUUUGUUGGGUAAAUGGAGGUGGCGUCUUCUUUUUGAGUGUGAUGCUCUUUGGGUGAGAGCUCUUCGUUCUAGAUAUGUCGCUAGGAUGGGAGGAUCGGGUGGUUUCUCUAAUCCUGAGUGUUUUAAGAGAGGCUCCCCCAGGUGGAGGGAUUUAGGGUGUCUGGGUAAUAGAUUUUUCGGGGUUCACAAUGGUUGGUUAUCAGAGAGUGUGCGUACGAGAAUUGGAGACGGUGAGUCUAUUGUGUUUUGGAGAGAUUUGUAGGUUGGUGAGGUUUGCCUUUUUAACAGGUUCCAGAGGUUGUUCCAGAUUGCUCUUGACACAGAUGCUUGCAUUAGCUCCUUGGGAGAAUGGAGGGAUGGUUCUUGGCUUUGGUCUUUAAUUUGGAGGAGGAGAUUGUUUGACUGGGAAAAACGUGACGAAGAGGAUUUGCUCAAUUGCCUGAAGGAUGUGAAACCGGUCACAGAUGCUGAGGAUGGGUGGCUUUGGAUUCAUGCUAAAGAUGGUGCUUACUCGGUUCAAAAUGCUUAUUUGGUUCUCCUUAAUGAGGUAACAAGUGCUGAUAACAUCUUUUUCAAAAGGUUAUGGCUAUAUAAUGUUCCUCCUAAAUUGAGAUGCCUAGCGUGACAUAAUAAUUAUUUAUUUAUUCAUUUCAAUUGUUAACAUUUUAAAUAAGCAUUAUUACAUAAUCCACCAUUAAUGUUUUCAAAAAGUAUAUGGGAUCCACUUACUGUUGAUCACUUAUUUUUUUUCUUGCUCUUGGUCUUAUGAAGUUUGGCAAAAAGUAUACGGGUGGUUUGAUUUUUGUUCUGUGUUCUCGAUUGGUGUGAAAUAUCACUUCAACUCUCAUCGGAGUCUCUUGCAGUUGGACAAGAGGCAUCAUCAUCUUUGGAUGUCUAUCUGGUUUGUUUGUAUCUAGUGCAUAUGGGUAGCUAAAAACAAAAUCAUCUUUGAGAAGACUUCUUUGAACUUGGAGGAGGUAAUGUUUUCUAUUCAUCUUCAGUCAUGGACCUUGAUAUUAGCAAGAUUUUCUUCUUUUUCUAUUCCUUUAUCGAUUUGGGUCUUUAACCCAUUGAGUUGUUUUUCUUGUUCUCUUUCUGGUUGUGGAUAUGAGUAGCACUUGUUCUCCUAAUACUCCAUUUUUGGUUAUAAAUUGUUAUUGCUGAUAAAAAAAAAAAAUCAAGAAUCAAGAAAAUCAAGAUUCAAGAAAAUCAAGAAAAAUGAAAAACAAGAAGUUAAGAAAAACAAGAAAUAAAUAAAAUGAAGAAAUGAAGAAAAUAAAGAAAUCAAGAAACCAUAAAAAAAUCAAUAAAAAUUGUAUGAAAAUAUUUUCAUUGUAAGUGAAACUCAAAACUAUGAGGAUCUUAAUCUUUGGGAUUGAAGGACCUCAUGUAAUGACGGACAACAUUAUGAAUACCAUUAUUUUGUAGAAAUAUAUCAUUGCUCCUUUCCCGUUUUAAAACUUACCUUAAUCAUCAUCUACAAUAAAUUACUCUUAGAUGUUUAGAAACUUUCCAGAUGCUCUUCUAUCAUCGCUUGAACCACGUGUUAGACAUUUAAAUAGGAACUUCUCUUGAUCGUAAUUUUUUUCAUACACAUACACACAAGUUUAGAUCAUAAGCUACCUUCCACUUGAAUUAAAAUUUAGACGUAAUUAUCAUUAUUUUUAAUUGUAUAUCCAUCAAUAUUAAUACUUAUUAAAAAUUUGACAUUUAUAUUAUUUAUAGUAAUGGAGGUUUAAUGACAUAGUGUAAAAAAAUUGGAUGAAUAUAUUUGUAUAAAAAAUUGUUAAAAGUAAAAAUGAGCAUGUUGAGGUGAGGAUAGGUUUUCACAAUUCGAUUGAGUAUAUACUUGGACGAAAAGACAGUCAACCAUCAAUGUUAAUUUAUGCAUUAGUUAGAACAUGACCGAAUCGGUUGGCCAAAAAAACAGUUAACCAUUAGUGUUAAUUUAUGCACUAAUAAAGUAAUAAUAUUGAUCAAUCAUUUUCUUUUGUUUUUUCCUCAAACAUUAUUAAUAAGGUAAAAGAAUAAUCAAUUUUGUUAUUAGUUUUUAUUUAGCUAAUCAUCAUUUUUGACGGAUGGCUCUGCUAGGGUUUAGAAACCUCCAACUUUCUAGGAAAUUCUAAACAAUCUCCAACUUUCUUGGAUCUCCUUCCUCAACUCUCCAAUAUGUCUACUGUGCACUUCAUUCCAUGGCCUUUUCUAGGAGGGUUUCAGGAAGCUACUCAACAACCCACUCUUCCUCCAAAAUCAUUUGCAAAUGUGGUGAAGAACAUAUGUGAUAUACCAGUCUCUCAACUCCCUCAACCAUGCAUCAAAGGAGAUGCAAUGGCUAUAAAAAUACCCAAGGAAGACUAUCAAGCUGGACUCCAAAGAUGCAAGAACCAUUUACAUGGAAGGAUCAUUCUAUCAAAGGGUGAUACUCCCAUCAAAUUUGCUGAUCUGAAGUCUAAACUCGCUACUCUUUGGAGCAUGAUAGGAAAAUGGAACAUGAUAUCACUUGGGAAGGGAUUUUUUGAAUUCUAAUUCUCCUCUGUGAAAGACAUGCGUUCUGUGUGUGAAAUAGGCUCUUGGAGCCUAAAGCCUGGUCUACUUCGACUCUUCUUAUGGACUCCAGACUUUAAUCCAAGUCUGCAAAAAAUGUCUCACUGCCAAAGUUGGGUGAAAAUUGUUGGCUUACCUCAAGAGUAUUGGAGCCCAAGGAUUAUAUUUUCAAUAGCAGGUGGUAUUGGCACCCCUAUUUCGUUGGAUGAAGCAACAAACAACAGAUCUUUUGGCCAUUUCACCAAAGUUCUUGUUGAUAUCAAUUUAAAAGCCAACUUACCAAAUCAGAUCUUGGUGGAGAGGGAGGGCUUUGCUUUCUUUGUCAACAUAGAAUAUGAGAACAUCCCUGAUUUCUGCUCAGGGUGUCAAGCAAUAGGUCACUUAGCCUCUAACUGCAGGAAGUCAGCUAAAAUAGAGCCUCUAGGGGACCAAAAACAAGUAAGGAAUCCAAAAGUAAUGGAAAAGGUCAUUCAUAAUAUAAAAGAACCUGAACUGUUCAUCAACUUAAACUUAGAUGUUACAGAGGAAGCUCACCAUGAGAAAAUGAACAAAGUCAUACCUCCUAUCCCAGUUGAAGUGUUAACUGAUUCAUCAGAUGAGGAAGGUAGUUGCACAAGAGUGGAAGACACUUUGGAGGAAUUACCAGAAGAAGCAAUCUAGUUUGAGAAGGAUAAUGUCACAAUUCAACAAUUGGAGGACAUGGAAAAUCAGAAUGAUGUUAAUGAUAUGCAAAUCAUGGGUAAAUUGUGGGCUAAGGACACAGAGGAUGAGGUUGAGGAAGAAGUGGAGGAAGAUGGUGCCUUCACUGAUGUUCUAACCAAGUCACAAAAAAGAAAGCAAAAAAGGAAGGUAGUCAAGGGAAGGUGCAUUAUACCAGAAGGGGUGGUUAUCUAAUCUCAACUCAAUGAAGGUCAUCUACUGGAAUUGUAGAGGUAUUGGCAACCUAAAUACUAGGUUGGUGCUGAAAAAUUUGGUCCAGACUAACAAACCUGAUCUGGUUUUCAUAGUUGAGCCAAAAAUAGUUUUGCAGGAAGUUAAUCACUCCUACUGGGAGGAAUUAAACCUUAAAGUGUUCGCAAAGAAUUGUAGGCAUAACCUGAUUCCUAGCAUUUGGGGAUUAUGUAGCAAAGACCUUGUUCAUACUGUGAUCUCCUCCACAGAUCAACAAGUUUCUAUUGCUGUAUCCAUUGACAGCAAGAAUUUCUUCCUUUCUGCAGUAUAUGCAAGCACUAAUUAUAUAGCAAGAAUGAUUCUUUGGUCUGAGCUUACAAACUUAAUGGAGGUUCAUCCUGGUUCGUGGUGUUGCAUAGGGGAUUUUAAUGUAAUUCUUGGGGCUAAUGAGUACAGGGGAUCCAGAAUUCUAUCUAGAGUUCCCUCAGAGGAGUUCAAAUUUUUUCUGAUAAUGUUGGGCUUAUUCACCUAAUCACUAGGGGUGCUGAAUUUACUUGGUCUAAUAAGAGAAGGGGCCUUGCUUUAACUGAGAAGAGGCUGGACAGGGCUAUCUGUAAUGAGGAGUGGAUUGCAAACUGGCAACAAAUCUCUUGUUGUACUCUUCCAAAAAUUUCUUCGGAUCACCAUCCAAUUCUGCUAUGCUCUAAUAGCUCAGAUCACAAUAGAAUAUCUUCUUUCAGUUUUCACAAAAUGUGGUUAAAGCACCCUGACUGCAUUAGCGUCAUUGAGGAAUCCUCUGGAGCUAGGGUGUAUGGUUGCCCAAUGUUCAUAUUGGCUUCUCUGCUCUGCUCUAAUAGCUCAGAUCACAAUAGAAUAUCUUCUUUCAGUUUUCACAAAAUGUGGUUAAAGCACUCUGACUGCAUUAGCGUCAUUGAGGAAUCCUCGGGAGCUAGGGUGUAUGGUUGCCCAAUGUUCAUAUUGGCUUCUAAGCUAAAAAGACUCAAAAUUGUUCUUAAAGUUUGGAACGUGUGUGUGUUUGGCAAUGUUCACCAAAAGGUCAAAGAUGCUUUGAAUGAGGUUCAGACAAUCCAGAAUUGCAUCAAUGAGCUUGGUCAUGACAAUGAUUACUUGGAUAAAGAAGCUCUGGCUCAAAGAAACCUACUCAUUGCCCUGAAUAUGGAAGAUGAAUUUUGGAAGGAGAAAGCUAGAAUGAAUUGGCACAUUCAUGGGGACAGGAACACAAGUUUCUUCCAUGCAGUUACCAAAAUCAGACAAGUUUCCAAAUCCAUGACUCUCUUGAAGGUUGGUGAGGAGGUGAUCACUGAUCAGGAGGAAAUUGGUCAGCAUGCUUUAAAUUAUUUUACUGAUCUAUUUGGCUCCCUAAAUGUAACUACUAAUAAUUCCCUCGUUAGUGAAGUUAUUCCUUGCCUAGUCACUGAGGAGGAGAACAAUCAUCUGACCUGUGUGCCAACUACAGAGGAAAUCAAGGGUGUUGUGUUCUCAAUGAAUGAGCAUGGUGCCCUUGGCCCAUAUGGUUUUGGUGGUGGUUUUUACCCAACAAAGAGGCUUUAUCAAAGGCAGAUCCAUCCAAGAUUGCAUCUGCAUAGCCUCUGAGGCAAUCAAUCUGCUAGAGUACAAAACCUUUGGUGGCAACAUGACAAUCAAGCUUGACAUAAGGAAAGCUUUUGAUACUCUUGACUGGAAUUUUUUGCUGGACACUCUCAAAGCUUUUGGUUUCAGCAUCAAAUUCAUCAACUGGAUAAGCACAAUUCUCCACUCUGCAAAACUUUCAAUCAAUAUCAAUGGUAAAAACAUAGGAUUCUUUAGCUGCAAAAGAGGGGUCAGGCAAAGGGAUCCAUUAUCUCCCCUUCUUUCCUGCUUAGCUGAAGAGGUUCUUAGUAGAGGGAUCACAAAACUCUUAGAGGCUGGAAAAUCAAACCUAUUGUUGGCCCUAGGAAUCUGCUCACUCCUUCUCAUGUUCUCUAUGCAGAUGAUGUUUUAAUUUUCUACAGAGAUUUUAAAAGAGAUUUGCUUGCUCUUAAGCAAUUAAUCAUUGACUAUGCUCAAGUUUUUGGCUAGAGCAUGAAUACAAACAAAUGUAAGUUCUACAUUGCUAAUGCCUCUGCUAGGAAAAUAGCAAACCUGGCUUCUUACCUAAGCUUCAAUGUGGGAAGCCUCCCUGUCAAGUACUUGGGUGUUCCUCUUUUUAAAGGGAAGCCUAGGAGGACUCACCUGCAUGGCAUUGCUGAUAGAAUAAUCAACAAGCUUGCUAAUUGGAAAGGUAAAUCUUUAUCAAUAAUGGGCAGGGUUGAGCUGGUCAAAUCAGUGAUAUAACGCAUGCUGAUAUAUAGCUUUCACAUAUAUAGAUGGCCUUCUCAGCUGUUAAAGCACUUGUAUUCCUGCAUCAGAAAUUUUAUUUGGUCAGGGGAUGUCAAGGUAAAGAAGUUGGUCACAAUUGCUUGGUCAAAAAUAUGCUCUAAUACUAAGGCAGGGGGCUUGGUUUGAGGUCCUUGAAGUUGAUAAACCAGGCUUCUAUUCUUAAGCUUGCCUGGGAUAUGCUCUCAUCUGAUCAAGAAUGGGCAAAAUUCUUCAGGACAAGAUUUGGCAAUCCUAAAAAAUACUAUAAGUCAUCAAUCUGGCCAGGUAUUAAAGCCAACAUGCAACUUGCAACAUCCAACACCAUGUGGCUUAUAGGGGAUGGCAGGGACAUCAACUUUUGGACAGACAAUUGGUUAGGGAAAACUAUGGUUGAUUUGCUCAAUAUCCCACCAGAAAUACACUCCUCUCUGCUGGCUUCACUAGCUGAUUUCACUGCAAACUCAAGAUGGAUAAUUCCUCAGGAGUUAGCUAACAAGUUUCCAAAAAUUGCCCUCCAAAUCUCACAUAUAUACAUCUCCAAUAACAAAGACAGAAGGGUGUGGCAACAAGCUAGUGAUGGUAAGCUGAGCCUCAAGGAGGCUUUUAACAGUAUCCUCCCUGCUUCACAGGAGAUGAAUUGGUGCAAACGAAUCUGGUCUUCAUACGUCCCUCCUUCCAAGUCCUUUACAACUUGGAGAUUGAUUAUGGACAGACUUCCUACAGACGAAAAAUUGAAAGCUAGAGGUUGUUCAAUGGCUUCUAAGUGCAAUCUUUGCAAGAAUAGUGAGGAAACAUCAGAGCACCUAUUUAUGCAAUGUUCUUUUGCUAAGGAUAUUUGGAAUUGGAUAAGCUGCACUUUUGGUUUCAAUAUCAAUUCAUCCUCAAUCUCUGGCAUCCUUCACAGCAUUAAGAAUGAGAGUACUCAACUUCAAGUUGUCUUCACUGUUGUUGUCGUAUACUCCAUAUACAACAUUUGGCUUUGCAGAAACAAGAGUAGAUUUGAAGACAAAAACAUACUCAACAGAGCUAUCAACAACAUCAAAGUAGCAAUUUCCUUAUCUGGAAAUUCAACAAAAUCUUUUGCCAAUUCUUCUAUUCAUGACUUCUCAAUCUUGACAAGUCUUCAUGUCUCAAUUAACUACACGAAAGCCCCUAGCAUUAAGGAAAUCAUAUGGUACCCUCCUCCUAUGGGCAGAAUAAAGAUAAAUUCAGAUGGUGCUGCUCAUGGUGCACCGGGUCUAGGCGGAGGGGGAGCAAUUUUCAGAGAUCAUAAUGGCUACUUUUUAGGUGGUUUCUCUGAUUUCUUUGAUAAUCAACGUGCUCUAUUUGCAGAAUUAAAUGCGGCUUUGAUGGCAAUUCAAUUUGCUAAUCAAAAGGGGUGGAAUCAUAUCUGGUUGGAGUGUGAUUCCCUUUUGGUUACUCAAAUGUUUAAUGGCCUAAUUAACAUUCCUUGGAAGCUCAUGAACAAAUGGCGAUUAUGCAAAGAUUUGAUGAAAUUCAUGGACUGCUGGAUCACACACAUUCAUAGGGAGGGUAAUGCUUGUGCGGAUAGUCUUGCUAGCUAUGGAAUUCGGUCUAGAUCGUUUACUUAGUGGAAUGAAAUUCCUACUACCAUUCUUGAGGACCUUCAUAGAAAUAGAUUAGGACUUCCUAACUAUAGAUUUUCUAACUAACUUCUAUUGUAAUCAUGUUCCUAUUUUAAUAUAUGUGGGGCUCUUUUGCCCUUUGCCUUAAAAAAAAAUUUUUUUUGUUAUUACAAAUAUAUUGAACACGUUGCAUAAGCAAUUUUAGGUAGAUUAUAAUAUAAGCUGUAAGGAUAAAGUAAUAUAAUGCAUAUCGGUUACUAAUUAGAGUGGGAGCAAUGGAUUGCGUUUCAAAUGAUAUUUUUAAUGGUAGUCUUCCACUAAUGAUAAUUGACACAGACAGAUAGGUCCUUUUCUAUUGAAUUCUCUUCGAAAUCAAAUUCUCCUGCAAGAGGGGGAUUAUUCUGACCCUUGUGGUUUUGGAAAAGAAAUCAUAUGGCUUAAAGUGUUACACAUUUUAAGGUUGGUUGUUUUUGUUUUCUUCUUGUUUCUGUUCCCGUGAUUAUGGAAAAGAAGGUGGCACAUAUAUAGAGAAAUAUUCUGAACAUUAUGUUUUAUACAUUUAAAGGAGAUUUGUAACAUAUUUGGAAAAUUGACCAAUAUAUAUUACCGACCUAACCAGGGAUGUUAGCGUGUUUAUGCAUAAUCAUUUUUUGGAAUCACGCUAUUUAUAUCUACACAUUUACAGUCAUGUUCGAGAAUACAAUGUGAGAAUAACCUGACCAUUUUUAAUUCAGGUUUUCCCAUUGAAUAUUGAAAUACAACUUUUUUUUAUUAAAUUUGAUAAUUUCAAAACUUACGAGAAAAAACUGAUUUAUAAUCCCAUUUUUUCUACUACAUGUUGAAUUGGUGCUGAAUAUAUAUGUAUAUGUGUGUGCCUUUGUAAGCACAUGCCCUUGUUGGCAUGAUGCGUCAAAUGUCAUGACCGAGCUAACUUUGUGACCUGAUGUCUAUUGUGCAUCAAGUGCAGUUUUGGUGCACAUCUUGGCACAUCAGUCUAUCCCAUAUAGUAGCGCCAGAUUGUUUACAUGGCGUACCAGGAAGCAACUUCUAAUCCAUAUUGGCGCAUCAUUUUUUCCUGAUAUGAGUAGAAUAAUUAUUCUUGUUUUCGUAUAGUGUUUGGUUAGGAUUGAUUUUAGUAGUAGAGUUCUUCUUUUCCUUUUUGGCACAUGUUAAAUGUGUUUAUAUAUAGUUUUAGUUGGUUAAGACUUAAGAGUUUGUUAGUUUAUUAUAUUGCUUGACUCACAAGUAAUCUGGACUAUAUAUUUAUUAGGUUCAUGGUCUUGUAUUUCAUUCAUUCUAUAAUAACAACAAUUCCAGUUUCUUAUUAAACAAUGAAUUCCAAUAAUUGGAACGUGGAGUCUCUUGGGUUUGAUAAUAGAAUGUUAAAGGAAUUUUUGACGUUGUAUGGGUGACUCCUGAAUAUAAGGUGUGUGUUUGAUAAGAUGACCUAGAUCAACUUAAUUCAUUAAAAACAAGCUAUUUGGUUAUGUUUGAAUAGUCAUUCGACAAUGACUUAUAAGUUAGGAACUUAUUUCAUUUUACAUCUAGUUUAUAAACUAACCUUUUUUAAGCAUACUUACGAAAUACAUAUGUUCCAGCCAAUUAGAUUAUUAGCUCAUUGUUUAUGUAUAUUUGGUGAUUUUAUAACUAUUCAUGUUAAAUUUCACUGUCACAAAUUUUGGUGUCCAUCUGGAUGGUGCUGAAGUGGUGCUACAGGGUUUGGAGCCGUGUAUUUAUAAUUCAUGUUAAGCAAUUUAACUAAAGUAACACUCAAGAGACUACUUCAAUCAAUUAUUAACAUAUAUAAAAUGGUUUUCUUUUACAUUGAUAUGUUAUUAACUGUACCCUAACACCUUAUACGUGCUUAGCAUUGAAUAUGAUUAUUUGCAGUAACCCAAAAAAGAUAUAUGGUGCAAGUUGUCCCAUUGUGAUAGCACAUUGCUAACUUUUCUACCAAAUUUAAGUCAAAGAGAACUACAGAAUCUGUAUAAUAGGGGAGGGAGAACUAAUGAACACACAUAUUCAUUACUCUUCAGUUCUUUUAUUUGAACCUUCCCAUUUUCUCAAGUGCAACCUUGCUUUCUCGGCCUACAAUUUUUAACCAACAAAACGAAUCAAAUUAGCUGGCUAUAUGCAAAGGGCAUUAAUAAAUAUAAAUGAACUUUGUGUUGGAGAAAUUUCUAUUUACCUCUUUGUCCCAGUCGCAUUGAAUAGUAAUCACAGUUAGUAUCAACGUCUGAACUGCUGUUCCACCAAAAAUUAGUCCCGCCCAGAUUCCCUGAUUUCAUUACUAUUAACAAUUAAUUUAACUAUUUAAUCAGUAUAUGUUGAAGCAAAAUCAAAUUGAAAUGUUGAAACAAAUGUUGUUUUCAAGUUAGGGAACUAAUGCAUUUUAAGAAAUAUCAUUUUUAAAUAUAGAUUACAAUGGGGUGAAGAUUACUCACCUUGCCAUCCCCAUUCUCAAUGUCUUAAUGGAUUCACGUACAAAAUCCCACGAUAUUUUAAAAAAGUAGAAAGAAAAGUUUAAAAUUUAACAACAAAAAAUAAUUUAUGUAUGUCAAUCUAUAGUUUAAAUCCGCAGUAAGUAGAAUGUGGGUUGUACUGGGCCAACAACCUAAAUAACAUUAAAACAAUUUAUUUCAAUUUUAAUUAUUUUAAACUCUCAUUUUAAAACAUGUAUUAUUGGAUACUACUGUGUAACUCUUUUUUAUAUAAAACUAAAACUUUAAAAAAACAUAUACAUAUAAUUUUACAUGUAUAAUUUCUAUAUUCCAUUUUCACCUUCAACUAUAAAAACCAUCUAAAUAAGAAAUUCAAUAUACAACAUGGAUGCAUAGAAAGAAAUAUUAGCCUAUUACAAUUUACAACAUUUUCUUCUCCUUCUUUCAUUCAUUUUUUCUCAAUUUCCACAUCAACAAUUCUUCAUCUUCUACCUUCUAUGUUUCUCUCAAUUUCUCUACUAACUUGAAUUUGCUAAAAGUACUACUAUUUUUUAUUCUAACACUUUUGGGCAACUCUAUAAGACAGUCAUUUUAAAUUUUCUUAAUUUUAAUUCUUUUUUUCAUUAGUCUUCUUAGUUGAUUCUUUAUGUCUUUUUCUGUGAUGAGUCACUUUUGUUUUUUUUAUUUUGUAAUUAAAAAAAUAAUCUGAGUCAGUAAAGUUCACAUUCUUAAAAAUAUAUCAAAACACAAUUAAAUCAAAAAUUAUUAACUUAUUCUUUCUCAAAACAUAAUUCUUCUUUUAUAAGAAUUUAUAGCAUGUAUAAACGGUACAUUCAAUCCUAAAUAAUAGGAAUGUGAGUUGAGAAUCUUGUAUCAACAUAUUAAUAUUUUAUAAAGAGUAUAUUAAAUAAAGUGUAUGGUUAAUAUUAUAUACACACUUCGCCAUAUUAAUUACAUAGCCAACAUCCCCAUAAUGGAAGAAAAUGGGUACCUACCUUUGCAAGUCCCGAAUAAGGUUUAAAGGUAGGUAGUCAAUGAUUAUACUCUUACCAUGAUGAUAACUUUGAGCUUAAAGGUAGGUAGUCAAUCAAACAAAAACGUUUCUUUUCGUAUCACCCGUUUUUGUUUUUAUCUUUUUAUAUUUUGCAACUCCAUCCCUUCUGACCUAGAAAUAACCUUAAAAUCUUACCUUUGAAAAACGUUUAUACAAAUAUCACUCCCGAAAACAUAUUUCAAUAAGUGUUCUGAAAAGGUUUCCAGAAACAUAUUUCAAGAAAAAACAUGGGAAGGGGGUGUUGUGAAAUUAUAAAGAACAUACCUCGACUCCUAGAUUAAAAACGAAACCCAACAAAUACCCAAGUGGGAGCCCAAUACCAUAAUAGCAACCCAAGUUUAUGUAUGCUACAUAUUUCUGCCACCCUGAUCCCACAGCAACCCCUGUUGAUAAAUAAUCUAACCAUAAAAUAUGCAAAUAAUUUACGGAAGAAUAAUAAAUGACUGUGUGAUAGAAUACAAAACUCUUAGGUGUAUAAAUAAUUGGUCAUAAAAAAUAACUAAAAACUGGAAGGUAUGGGAGUUAGAUUACAGCACCUGAUAGGACAGGCUGAACACUGUUGAGAAGAAUUGUGAAGCCUAAGAGGGGUGAUAACUUGUUUACCUCUUCAAUAACAACUUCACUUGAAGAAAACAUGUAGGCAAAUUUACUUCUAAAGUUCAUAAUCAAGAGCCAGAAGAAAACGCUUAUUAUAAAUGAUGUCAUCACUGCAACCUUGGUUGCAAACUUGGCUCCUUUUCCAUUACCAGCUCCAAGCUCGUUUGCAACCCUUACUCUGCACCAUCAACCAUAAGCCAAAACUAUGUGAAUGUUAUUAAGAAUAUGGAUGUGUUCCCUAUUUGUAAGAGAAUUCUUCAACGUGUGUUUAUUUAAUGAAUAAGCUGUUCAGAGAACAUAGAUUUUUAUAUUUGUUCUAUUGUGGGGGAAAACACAUCUAUUCAUGGGUGAAGCAAUCUAAUUGUUUUGCAAAACUAUAUCACCAACAUGUGCAUCUAAUAUCUCUACUCAACACACAUAUGUUAUUCUAGAUCUUGUCCAUAUAUUUAUUCACGUUAAUGAUAAUGAAGUAAAAACGUAAGACAUAUGAGACAACAGAUUUAUAUACUCCUUUAAGCAAGAAGAGAAAGUCAAGAUGCAUUACCCAACUGCAGCAAGGAAUGACAGAGGAAACAUCAUCUGCCAAAUAUUUAUGCUCAAACUGCCAUAAAAAACAAAGUAACAAAUAAUAUCAGUCCACAAAGAGAACAAGAAGAAAAUAAAAUUUGAGUACAAGCUCUUAAAAAAAGAAAUGUCCUUAUUGAGUAUCCGCUGUAAAUUAAAAGGUAAAUGCAUAGUCUUAGUUAGAUACUUACCAUAUGGUUAAAGCUUCCACAGAAGUCUUUGCGUUAUGUAGAAUUCCUGUCAUCAACAUUAGUACUUUAUCAUACCAAACCUCCAAGCUGUAAAAGAAAAACCCAGCACAUUAUGAAAAUGCAGUAGAAGAGAAAGAGUAUAGAAUACAAAAUAGGAAAAACUACUCUUAGAUAUAUUUUUGUUAUAGAAAGCAAGUUUGUUAUGCUUUUACUUCUUGCAAAAUAAAAAAAAAUUGUUUUAAGUCUUUGCAACCUACCUUAUUUUGAUUUUUAUCCUUAAAGUUUGUUGAGUAUUGAUAGAUCCUUCUCUUGUGGUGCCAAAUAUUAUCUAAAUGUGGUGUUAUAACAUCACUUAAAAAAUUUCAACUAAUUAUAGAGAUGAAAUUAAUAUAAGUAAUAGGUUGUAGGGACUUAACAAGAUUUUGUUCUCUAUGUACCAAAAAACAAGAUUUUAUUUUCUAGAGUCUAAAAAUAAAAUAGUAUUUUACUUUACACAGAAUUAAAACAUAUAAAGUAGUAUAUCAAUUAUGUAAGUUAUUUAUUGUUUUCAAUUUAGUUUUUAUUGAUCAUAUUUCUAUUACCUCUAAGUAUAAUUCACACUUUUAGUGUUUUAAAAUAACAAAAUUUACAAAGUUCCCUCUAUACAUAAUGGAUUUUAAACUACAAACCUAAGAAAGUAUUAUAUAACAAACUUUUAAAUAGAAAAUAGCUUAAAGGGCAUGUUUGUAAAAAACUAAUAAAACCAGCUUAAAAACAUAACAUAAUUUACCUCAAAAAGUUGCAUAUGUAAAAGAAAACUAAUAUAUAUUGUGCUUAUUAUGGCAAAAAAAAGAAGUACCAGAUCAUGACCCCAGAAGCAACACUGAGUGUGGUGAACUCCCAAAGACCAGAAAAUGCUGCUAAAGAGAAACCAGUCCAUGUUGAUGGGCAAUUACCCCAAACAAUAUAACCAAAGUAUCCUAACACCAUAAUCCACCAAGAUACAUUUGCAGCAGCAACAACACUAAUCACUCCAAGCUCAAACUUGUACAGAACCAACCAACUAGUAAUGGCAUGGGACACAAGUGCCACAAGUGACACCCAUGCAAUGACCUUAUUUUUGAGCUGGCUUUGCAAGAAAAAAUGGAGAGGGAAGAAAAAUGCAAAAGCCAAGUGAGUAGGUAUGAGCCACAUGGAAAUAACCCCAGCAAGCUCAGCUAUCUCUUGAGGCUGUCCAAAGAGAACCAAUAUAUGUGUGGUGAAGAGAAACCAAGGCAAAAGUACCACACUACUAAUGAGUAGUAUGAUCCAUGAACGUUGCAUGUAAACGCCUAACAUGUAGUGCUUCUUUGCCCCAAAAGCUUGUCCACAUAGUGUUUCUAAGGCGCUUGACAUACCCAACUGUUGAAACAGAAACCAUAGAAGGGCAUUAAAAGAAAAAUGUUAUGAUGUUAAAGCAUUUUUUGUAUAGGAAUGAUUAUUAUGCAAAUAACGUGUGAGCUGCAUGUAAAUAUUGUCCUAUGCAAAGUGAGACAGCAAAUUUAGGGUAGUGAAAUGUGGUGACUUUAAGUAGAGAUGUUGACAGAUUAUCAAUCCAAAUUAACUUGAGAUCUUUCGUUUGGAAAAGAAAUAAAAGUCCAUAGUUUUCUUUUUUUUAAUUAUCAGUUCUCUCUUUAGUGGUCUAGUUUUUUUUUCCUUAGGGAUAAUAUCUUUCCAUAUAGUACUAUAAUUAAGGAGUGUAUUCUAAAAUUCUGUAAUUCUUUUAAAAAAUUAAGUAUAACAUCUUUUACUUGUUCCAAUGCAUUACUUAAAAUCACAUGUCCCAAAAGCACGUCGAUAAUCAUGUUACAUUCUAAUAAAAUUUUAACAUUUAAUAAAAAUUAUUACUAUAUUUCUGAAUAUUAAAAAAAAUAUCUAUUACAGUUUCAUGUGAUUGAAAGUUUGAAACAACUAAUCUUCAUUCCACUUUUCAAGGUUGUUUUUCCAUUUUGGGUUCUCAAACAGUCAAACUAGUUUCUAAGGGUGAGAGGAACAAAGUCCAAAUAGUAAUAAUUUCAUGUAUGAGAAAAUAGGAGUGACUAAGUAAAUAUUUUUAUACUAUGAUGAGCAUAUUAUCAUCAUUCAUGUAGAUUGAUAAUAUAUUAUAUUGAUUCUAAAUAAAAAUAAUAUACAUAAGUGAUAUAAAUACUAUCCUAAAAGUGUACAGAAAUUUACAUGCAAAGUGAAUAUCAAUUAAACUCAUCCUUAAUCUGCUCAAUAAAAAACUUCUGGUUCCACAUCCACUGAUAGCCACAUAAUACACAUUUCUCAAAAGAUAAUAAAAAUUGUGUGUGUUUUAAGAAAAUAAUUGUUUCUCUGCAUUCAAGAUCAAAUACAAUAUAAAAUAGUUGAAUAUAAUAAAUGAUAAAGAUAAAAUACCAUGAGUCCAAUGUCGAGGCCCAGAAUGACAUUAACGGCAAUAGAAGUAGCAGCCAACUCAAGGUCACCUAGGUGGCCAGCAAAGGCUUGUGUGAUGAUAAUCAUAGUACAAUUAGCAACACGAUUGAAGAUUACUGGGCCAGCUAUGUUCCAGAGCUUCUUCGAUUCAACCCAAACUCUUCCAAAAACACCUUCAUUUUCUCUUUUACCAUCGGUGUCAUCAUCCAACAAUAGAACCUUUGCUUUCCCUGAUGCUAAAGUCUCAUUGCUUGACAUUUUGGACUACACUAAAUUCUUGGGAUCAAUCACAUAGUCAAAUAUGAACACUAUCAAUAUAUGAACUUUUCAUGUAAGCUAGUUGAAAAUCUUAAUGUUAUGUUUACUACCUUCAGUUCAAUAUAAAGAUAAUCUAUCAAUAGGUUUAUUUUCUUAUGUAAAAAGCAACACGUAUUAUAUUUCACGCAAUAAUUUUUUUAGAGGUGCUUUGAUUCCAACAGUCUGAAAUAAUAUAUAGAGAGUUCAAUCCAAACUUUUUUCAGAGGAGAAUGCUUACAUCUUAUUUGGUGGAUGUGUUAUUCUUAUGAAUGUUAUCGUAUUUGCUUGGCCUAUUUACCUUCUUUUCUUUCUAUAGGGCUCCAUCUGUCAUUGUGAAAUCUAUUUAGAAAAUUUAACCAGACUUUCUUUAAGUUGGAUUUGAACGCAAAAGAAAAUUAAACUGGGACAAAUGUGAGAAUGUUUGUGAAAGAAAAAACAGAUAGAGGGUUGAGAAUCAAAAACAUCCAUCACUUAAAUCUAAUUCUUUUUGGGAAGUAGAAAUAGAUGAUUCAAACUGAAAAUGAUAGCCUUUGGUGUAGAGUGUUGAGGUCUAAAUAUGGGCAUGCCAUUACGAACCACUCUGAGGAAGGGGCCUUGAUUUCUCUCCAUAAAUGUUCACUUUGGAUAAGGGACAUCUACAACCUAGUUGUCAAAGGGACGGAUACUAUGCAAUGAUUCUAGAACGGUGUUGUGAAGAAAGUCGGUGAUGAGACUAAUACUAGAUUUUGGAAAGAUAAUUCAUUAGGGUCGAAAAUCUUAUGACGAAGUAAAACAGACUUUUCAAAUUAAAUCAAUGCAAGAAUGCACUCAUAAGUGACCUUGGGAAAUGAUCGAAGGAGAAAUUAAGAUUGACAUCUAACUUGGCGUAGACAACCUUUCACCUGAGGACUUGAGUCAAUAGAUACUCUUUUGUAGGUCAUCCAAUAUCACACCUUUUGUAGACGUACUCUAGACUUGUGGUCGUGGAUCCAUCAUAAAUUCAAUCUUUACUCUUUCAAAUCAACUUAUAAGCUUCUCGUUAAACAAAUCCACCAAACAAAACACACUCAUAACAUCAUCACCACCGACAUCCUCUAGAAAUCAAAGGUGCCUAUGAAGGUCACAGCUUUUGCAAUGAGACUAUUCCAAGACGGGUUGCGAAUUACUAUGAAAAUGGUAGAGCCAUGCAUGAAUGAGAAAGAAAGAAAUGAGUAAGAAAACUUAAAGAAGAAAGGAGGAAUGAAUAUAGAAUCAAAACUCUAUUAAAAUGUAACUUUUCUCGUUAUUGUCAUUAUGAUUACAAAGGUGUAAGAAUCACCUUUUAUAUUAAAAGAGAAGAAAUCACAAACAAAACUCAGUUUAACUAACUGAAACAACUAACUAGAUAAUCUCAGUUUAAUUAACAAUAUAAUUAAUCGAUUAUCUGGUUAGUUGUUUUAGUUAAUUAAGUUGAGUUUUGUUUGUGAUUUCUUCUCUUUUAGUAUAAAAGGUUAUUCUCAUACCUUUGUAAUUAUAAUGACAAUAAUGAGAAGUGUUACAUUUCAAUAGAGUUUUGAUUCUCUAUUUCUUCCUCCUUUCUUCUUUAAGUUUUCUUACUCAUUUCUUUCUUUCUCAUUCAUGCAUGGAUCUACCAUUUUCACAUGGUAUCAGAUUGUUACCAUUUGCAAUACGUUUAUGUCUUCCAUCUUCUUUGAUUGUUAUCGUUUUCAAUAUGCAAGAAGUUAUUGAAGAUAUGUCAAAGUCUUCAACAUGCAAGAAGCUGCAAGAGAGAAAAGUAGAUUCUUCUCCAUCAUAUUCCUCCAAAUCUCAUCCCAACAAAUCCUAGAAUUCACUGUUUCAUUCUACAACUUCAUCUCUUCUUGGUGCAUAAUUCUUGUCAUUUCUUCUUUUUGUGAUGUUUGGUCUUGAUGUUGCGGUUGAUUCAGAUUUCAUCAUUUUCAUUGGAAAAGGUUCAAGGUGUUGAUGGUUCCAUACAUAAAGAAAGGUGUUGAUGGUUCCAUGCAUAAUUGGGUUGAUGUUCUUCAUCUCAAGAAAGAAAAAAAAGAAGAAAUAUUCACGACAUAACCAUGCAAGAACCUCAUCAUGACAUGCAUUCUCAACUCUACCAAGUGCACUUACAUCAAGUCAGAUUUCAAGUCAGAUUAGAAUUCUUUUCAAGUACAUAAACUAGCUUCUUGAUAUCCUCAAGCUCUUCAAGAAUGAAGUAUCAUGACUAAUUUAUCCUAUACAAGAUUACAUCUUUUUGUUAUUCUUCAUCAUUUACCCUUUUUUAUUCAUCAUUGAAGCAUCUCAUUAGGAUUAAGAUUCUGAUUUGUUCUCUCUCUUUCAUCAUUAAUGGUUGGUUCACUUCUAUCCAUGAUGGUUAAGCUCAGAUAUAACUUCUAUCAUGGAUGGUUAAGCAUUGGAUGGGUAGCUUCUCUCCAUAGUGGUUAAGCAAAGAUAUAGCUUCUGUUAUGGAUGGUUAAGUGUUUGAUGAUGUAGCUUCUGUCAUGGAUGGUUAAACAUUGUUAUUACUUCAAAUCAAGCUUCAAAUCAAUUACAAGCUAGAGAGUAAAAAAUUUCACUCACCAACUUGAGGAGGAUAUUAAAGAUAUAUUAUAGGAUAUUUUUGAAAGAUGAUGAUAGUUGGUUAGGAAGUUAGGAAUUAGCUAGUUAGGUUUGUGUUAGUUACUUGCUUUACAGACUUUCUUUUCUUCCUUUCUCUUGUAUAAAUAAGUCAUAUUGGCUCACUUCUUAUUCAUUCAAUUCAAUGAUAAUAAUGAGAAAUGUUACAUUUCAAUGGAGGCUUUGAUUCUCCAUUCUUUCUUUUUUUCUUCCUUCUUUCUUGUUCAUCUUUUCUUUCUCAUUCAUGUAUGGCUCCUACCAUUUUAACAACUAAAGAAGCCUUACUCGAAAGGGGAAUUAUAUCACCAUGAGGAGGAGGUCACUUAUGCAGGUCAUGUAAUGGACAACCAUAAUCUACUCAUCACCUUUUCUUUUCAGACGUAUUUUCUUAUUUAGUUUUGCAACUUAUUUAUAAUUGGUUGGAUAUUUAUAUUGUUUUUUCUAGUGAUCCAACAAACAGUUUUAUCAUCAAAUGGGUAUGCCAAUCAACAAAAAGCAUUAGAAGUUCUCGAGAGAAUAUUUAGCUCACAACAAUUUGGUCUAUUUGGCUUGCUAGGAAUGAUAUCAUCUUCAACUCAACUCAAACAUUCGUACAACAAGUGGUAGAGGCGCCAAAAGUGAAGUCCUGGCUUUGGGUCAUUGAAAAAAGGGCAUAUCAAUAACGUUCUAUCGGUUUAGGUUAUUGAUCCUUGCGAUUGUCUCUUAAAUCUAUCUUAACUCUCCUUCCCAUCAUCCUCUUCUCCUUGUAUUUCUUUCUCUUUUUUUCUUUCUCAUCAUUUUAUCUUUUGUAAUAUUUUGUACCUUAAAGUAAUUAAUAAAAUUGUUUUUUGUCGAUAAAAAAAAUAUAUAUAUAUAUAUAUAAUUGAUGUUAAUGGUUCUAAUUAAAUCAAAUUGGAUUUUGUGCAAUGGUCCAGCCUGGAUUUUGUGCCUAAUAAGUAAUAGCGUGAAGGAGCUUUACUUGUUUCGCUAACAAAGAGCUUUACUUGUUUCGCUAACAAAGAGCUUUACUUGCCUAAUAAGUAAUUGCAUCUCAUCUCUAAUAACUCUUAAUCUAGACGAACCGUACAAAAUGAAAGAAUUAUCACGCUAAUAAUUAAGUAGGUGAUUUGAUUUUAAAUUGAGGGUCCCAGGUACAGAGAAAUGGUAACAAGUUAAUAAUUCACUAUUUAGAUUGAAUAACAUUAACAUGAAGCUCACUAAAUUAUGUGGAACAUUUUCUAUUUAAUGAUUCCAACUAAACUUCAUCAAUUAACAGAUUUCUUCCCUAACAAGAGUGUAUUGUUAUCACUACUUUUAGUUAUGUAUCAUAACUGCUAAAAUAUCUGAUAUAGAGCAUGAGACAUAAUGGAAUGAUAAUUUACCUGUAACUCUAUGGUGUUUCCCUUCGGCAUAUAUAUGCUGUCUAACUCUGUCAAAAAACUUCUUAUACAAACCUUUGAUUCUGCUCUUCUUUUCGCUAAUCUGCUCUUACAAUUAAAAAUACACAAUUUUAAAUAGUCUUCUAUCAGGCCCUUUUUUUGUUUUAAUUGUUUCUAAAAUAUCUUAAAUAAUCAAGUCAUUAUUACGUUUCUUUUCCUAUUUUAGGCCGUGAGAGUAAAAUUUGUAGUAUCUACUUGCAUUUUGUUUAUUAGUUAUUACUAACUGUCAUAUAUAUAUAUAUAUAUCAUUGUACUUUACUAAUUAGUCUAGUAUAUAUUGUUAAUUUCUUGCACACAAUCGAUGAGAUGUAAAUUCUCAUUUCAAUAAUACAAAAUAGAUAUAAAUGAAUUAAGUUCAGAAUUAAAAUAGUUAUCCCCGAUUCAUUUUCAUUGUAUUAGUAUUUUUAAAAUAUUAACCAAUUUACUAAUUCUAACCAAAUAAAUAUCAGAAUUACAAAAGAUUUAACGAUCACAUUAAUUCCGGUUUUUAGUAACAUAAAAUUUAUUAAUUAAUUAAGUUAUACAUUUUACUUAUUAAUGUUAGCGUAAAAUUUAAUAAAACAAUUAAUAUUUCAUUGGUUUUGAAAAUGACACAUACAAGUAAUAAAAAUUUAUCCACUCACAGUGUAAAGUUUUUUACACUGUCGACACAUAAUCCACCACUGAUUUGUAUUACUUUUGUUUGAGAGUCAAUGGUGGUUAAUAUAUCAAUGGUGAAUAAUUAACAUUUACACUGUAAGUGUAUACAUAAUAAAUCCUAAAAAGAAACCUUUUGUAAAGCAAAUAACAUAAUUUCCUGAAACGGUAAAAAAUGCACAAAAUUAUUGAAACGCUAGGAAAUUAUUGAAACGCUGACGGAUUAGGAAGGUACAAGAGCCUUCACCCCUCCUCCAUCAAAUUAAUUAAGUGAGAAAGAUAUUAGUGACAUUGGAUAGAGAAAGAUAUUAGUGACAUUGGAUAGAGAAAGAUAUAAGUUUUAUCAUAAGGACCCAACAUAAUUGGUUGUAGAGUCCACCCAGUAUAUCAAAAAAUGUACCUUCUUUCUCUAAUAUGACCAUAUUUUGAUAUUCUUUUCUCCACAACCUCUAUGGUAAAGAGAACUUUUUUUUUCAAAUAAAAAAUAGUUUAAUAUUUAUCCCUUGGUUUUUAUAUUCUCAACAAAUUAUUAAUCAAUCAUUUAUUUACCAACGGACGUUGGUUCAAGUGAUACAUACUUGAUUUCUCUUAAGCAAAAUCUCGGGUUCGAGUCCUGUCGAUGGAAAAAUGUCUGCUGGGAGAGUUAGUUCCACGUACCUGUGGACGUUCUCGGCUCGGACAGGAUUGCUUCCGGUGCAAGAAUACCUGUGAGAAACCAAAAAAUCAAUCAUUUAUUUUAGUUUUAUUUAAUAAUAAAUGAUGAUUAACACAUAAAUAAUGAAUAAUAUAUUAACAGUAUAAUUUUUUUAUAUAUUAUCAUUGGAUAUCCUCUUUGUUUAUUUGCUUUACAUUAUCUAAAUAGAUAUGUUCAUGUAUAUUCAAUGAAUUUGAACUUAUCAGUAGUAAAAUUAUUUAUUAGAUUGUUUCUAUUUAAAUUCGUUAAAUUAAAUGAAUGGUUUAAUUUAUAUGUUUCAAAUGAAUGGUGGAUUUUGAAUAAUUUGUGAAUAAUAUUUUACUCUUGACUUUAGUAUGGUUUUGUUGAAGACACCCACAUUAUAUAAAGACGAAAAUGAAGAAUACUUAUAAGAUAAUGAAGAUAAAGCUUUAAGGAAUUUAGAGUCUAAAUUUAUUGGUACUUAUAUCCUUAUACACUAUAAUAUAUAGUUAGUAGUAAUUCUCAAAAAUAUUUUUAAAAGAAAAUUGAAAACUACAAGUAUAAAUGAUUUUUUUUCAAAAUAUUGUGUAAUAGGUUACUGAAUCUAAGUAAUAAGUUACUGGAUCUAAGUAAUAGUUACUCUGACUAAGUAACAGAUUACCAGAACUAAAUAACAGAUUACAUGAAUGAGAAACGAGUUAAUCAACAAAAACCGAACAACGUAAUUGACUACUCCUUUUGAGUAACCGAUUACACGGUUACAAUAUAUGAGAGUAACCGAUUAUACAAUUUAGUAAUUGAUUACUUAAUUUGACAUAAUGUUUGGGGAAUCGAUGUCGAUGUUAUAAUCGAUUACUGAGAGUUGUUGUAUCAUAUUUUCAAAUUCAGACUAAACAACUUUCACCCCAAACAUAAUGGUUUCAUUCCAAUCGACUUCUACCUUGUCAUUGAGGUGUUAUGGCUGGUUGGAAAGCCUAUUUAAAUUCACAUAUACAAUCUGAAUUUUUAUGAAAUAUUUUUUCUGCACUUUCUGUAACUUGUUCUUAACUUUCAGAUUAAAUUUUUUGAAGUUGCUUUAAGUGUGAUUUCAAAUAUUUUCAAACCUUUUGGACAUUAUAACUAAGUGUAUAAAGAUGUAACAGAUUGCAAGAGAUCACAGUGUUCAAAUUUUUUGAAGUUGCUUUAAGUGUGAUUUCAAAUAUUUUCAUUAUCAUUGUUAAAUUUUUCUUCAUUCAAUUUGCUGAAAUACUUUCUAUCACAAAGACGUGAUAAGAAAGGGGACAGCGUCACUUGAAAAUAUUAUUUUCCAAAGAGUGACAUAGAUAUUAGAGAGUGAGUAAGGUACAAGGAAAUUUCGGGGUGAGAAUUUAUAACUAUCACUCUCAAUAUCUAGUGAAGAAAUCUUUUGUGAUGCAAGAGUACAAUAUGUAACUUCUGGUGGACAAGAAGGUGAAUCAAUAUAAAAGUCUCUAAGUAUUUUCUUUUCUCUUUUCUCCUUAAAUGUACUUGAUAUUUUUUUGCAUAACUUUUUCGCUACUACUAACUUUGAAAUUUGUAGAAAAAUCUAUCUUAAAUUUAAGACAACUAAUUUACCUUAUCUUACUUGACAUUUGCAAUCUUGUUAUGUACUUUAGUUGUAUGAUUGAGAUUCAAUUCACCUCAAUAUAUAUAGGUUAGAAGUCUUGAUGGAGAAGAUUAAAGGUACUAUUCCAUGAACAAGGGCCAAUGGGAAAAUAGAAGUAUAGAAAUUAAUAUCAAAAUUGAAAAGUUUCAAGUUAUGUAAUACUUUAUAAUAAUUUCUAUAUAAUAUUGAGCUAGUGUAUUAUUUGAGCGUAUCAAAUCUUAUAAUUUCUCUCACAACAACAAUUAAAUUAUCUAUAUAUUUUUCACUUAUUUAUUUUAUCUUUGAUUUAUACAUGUAAUUGAAAAAUUUAUCAAAAAUCAAAGGAUAAUUAAAAAUAAAAAACAAUUAAGUGUGAGUGCUUGAGUUCGAAAUACUAUAAAGUGAAUACCCUCCCUUAAAAAGAAAAUAAUAUUUUCCUCUUCAAAUAAUUAAUAAAUGACUCAUUGUAGUCUUCUAUUUAUGUUUUGAAAUUAUUUUUCUUAACUACAAUUUGAGAAUGCAUAAUUGCGCCAUCCCUUAUUAACUUAACUUUGAACUCGAAUAAUUAAAUCUUUCAUAACUACAACUAGAUGUCUCUUGUGCCUAUAAAAGGGUCUUUUUAUUGAAGAAAAAUAUAUCUAUCAUGAGCCACGAAAGCAUGCAUAUAAAGGACAACCUACACUAACUUUUGAAGCAGAUAUGUUGUUUCACUUGAUAUACUAUAACUUCUGAUUAAUUGAAAGAAAUUAUUUAAAUUGAAAUUAUAAUUAUUAAAUAUUUUAUUACUCAAUUAUAUUUUCUAGCACACAUAGAAUAGUACAAAUCAGUAAAAUAGAAGACAUGGACCCAACAUUAUAUUCAUGAUUUGCCAAAUUCACUUGAUAUAUAUAUCGUUUUGUCUUGAAUUAUGGGAUUGCAAACCAAUCAGGGGUCUUCAUUAUAUCAUGCAGGAAAUUUGCCACUAACCCAAGUUGCACCCAAGGUUCAGAAUAAAUGAGUAUAUAUCCUCUCCAUUACGGGAGAGGUAAAUAUUUUAAAGAUAGUGAUAAGUGGCAACCAAAAAUUUAUAAUUUUAUAGUUAAAAUAAAUGAAAAUUGUAAUUAAAAAAUAUUAAAAAAAUCUCUAAAUUCCUCCCUCAUUUCACAUUUCUCUUCUCCUCUUCCUCACUAUAAACGAUAAAGUCUCUAUUCUAUCAUUUUUCAUUACUCUAAAAAAUAUUAUUCCCAUUUCUCUUUUCUUUGGAAAUCAUUUAGAACAUAGCUUAAACAUCGACUACCAACUGAGGUUGGUUCCAGUGGUAUAUUUUGAUUCUCAUGGAUAAAAAUGCAUGUUGGAAGAGUUAGCCGCACGUAUCUGUGGAUGUUUCAGGCUCUAACAAGAUUAGCUAUAGUGCAAUGAUACAUGUAGGAAACCAAAAAAACUUAACACCGACCAUACAAGUAAAAAAUAUUAGCACCAUUUCUAUAUUAAAUAUGUCACAUAAGUUGCAUCACUUCAUGUACCACUACUCUGUUAUUAAUUAAGAAAAUAUAUUGAAAUUAAAAAAUUAAUAAUUAAUUAUUUUCCUAACGAAUGACAGUUGAUGACAGAUGAAUAUGGGUGAAUUAGGCAUAAAACAAAGUAUUCUCCCAGAGAUAUUAUGCUCAACUUCCUUCAUAUCUCUUCUUUUCUUCAAAGAACCAUUGGCAGCAAGAAAGUACACCCCAACCACCAUGUCCAGCAAAGACAAUGCUAUCUACAACAAAUUUCAUAGUAUAAAAAGGGUUUAUGUAUGGCUUGCAUACAAGUACAAUUUGUGUGAAACACAUUGAAUUUGCGGAAAGUAUAAGAUUGUGAUAUAUCUUAAUUACUAACAUUAAAAUUGAGUAAAAAUAUAUAAACUAACAAUAUAAAAGUUUUAUAUAUUGUUUCUACAUUAUACAUCAUUCAUAUUUUAAUAAUCACUAACUCUAAUAAAAUAAUGCAAAUGAAUAAUGUAUUGAUGAUGUAUAAAUAUUUAUAGUAUCAACAAAUCCUCUAGUAAAGGGGUCAGACUCCUCUCUAUUAAUAUAGAGAGCAAUGCAGUUUUCUCUUUAAUUUUAAUGAUAAAUUUGUUUUAUUAUGAUAAAUAUAAGAAUAUAGGUGUAAUUUUAUAUUGCAUUAUCCUUGUAUUUUAUGACGACUCUCUUCUUAAAGUCAGGGUUUAGCCGCUUAACUAAUCGCCGACUAAUCAGGUCCACCUUGCUUGCGAUCUAACGUGCUAGCUACUUUCAAUAAAUAAUUAAUAUUGGUAUAUUUAAAAUUUGGCUAAGCAGCCAUUUAAUAUAGAAUUGAUUGGGUUAAAAUAGUAAAACUAAUCUCAGUAGCAAAUAGCGGAGAAGACGAGGAACCCACGUUCUCUUCUUAAGAAAGAAGCCAACCAUUGUAGAAAAUCAAGCCACAUGAAAUAAUCAGUGACGUCACAUGGAGAGGAUGAUAGAAUUUUUAUGUCUGAUUAGCAUGCCUUCUUAACUUGUAAUAUAAGAACCACUCUACAUAAAAAUCAAAUCCAUGUGUAUAAAAGGAACAUUUCAACAAAAGUAAUAUGAAAAAGAAAGUGGGAAUUGGGAAAACACUAGAAGGAUUUCAACCUUUAGAUAUAAUUAAAAUAAAACGGUGAAACUUGGUGUAACCUUAAAGUUUGACAUUUGGUGUCUAACACCUUUUUUUAUGGUGUCUAACACCUUUUUUAUAAUUAAUCUAAUUUUGUUGAGGUGUGUGUUUAAUUAUUAUUGACUCUGCAAAAAAUAUAACAAAAAUGAAUAAUAUAUUAAUUAUGUAUAAAUUUCUAUCUAAAAAUAUAUAUAUUAUACUCUUUUAUUAAAGGUUCUCUUAGUUUCUUAAGGCAUGCGUAUAGUAACUUAAAAAUACAUAAAAAACUGAUCAACAUCUAUUUAUUCUAAAGUUUAUAUUACUUCUUCUACCAAAUUAUUCUCAACAUCUAACAUAAAUUUAAUAUAUAUUAACUUAUUAUUUAUAUCGAAUGAAAAUAAAUGGGCAAAUAAAGUGAUAUUUUUUUUAAGCAAAGGUGCUAACUCACACCCAAGAUUUCAUUAAAAAGAGAAAGGAUUACAAACAAACGCCAACAGCUUACAAAUUGCGAAACCUAUAAUUAGGAAACAAAUUCCUAUUUUUAUGAAAAUCCUCAUACAAGAAAUUCGGUAAUUAUUCCACCAAGAAUCAGUUUUAGAAGUAACUCCAAGUAUAAGAAAAACAUGGCUUAUAGAAAGAUGAAGAAAACAUGGCUUACAGUAAUUUCUUAAGACAAGUAGAUCUAAACAUACAAUAAACUAAUCCAAGUAUAAGAUUCAGUCAUCUUAUUUUUCACAUGAUUAACUUUCUCAUUCAAAAUAUUGCUAAUGAAAACUCAUGUAAUAUUCUUUGGAAUUUUUAAAAGUGAUAUUAUGUGUAAAAUUAAAUUCAUCUAAAUACACGAUCAUCCAAAAUUACUUACCCAUUUUAACAUAUGGUCACCUUAAAUAUCAUUUAAAUUGCGCUAAUUGUUGGCUCAUAAUAUUUAUAACAGACUAAUCGCAACGUUUUCGGUGAUUCUUCUAAUCUUCCUUAUUGUAAAGAGACAUAUAUUAUUAACAAAACGUUGAUGUAGUGGUUAAAGUCUCAUUAAAUCUCAUAGACAUGAGUUCGAUUCUGAAAGUGACAUUUGUUGGAAGUGAACCAAAAUGAAUUAAUUACUUAUUAAAAAAAGGUGAAAGGAUAUACUUAGUAGUACAAAAAAAAACAUAGUUUAAAUAGUUUAUAAGUGGAUCGUUUUACUAGUACCUAUUAGAGAGAAGCAUAGUGCAUGAUGUUGUUAAUUAAAAUAAUAAGAUAACCCUACAUGUUCUUAAGGACAUUUUAAUCUUGCUUAAAAAAUAAGAUAGUUUUAAAUACUAGAUGUAAAUAAUAGUUACAUAUUAUUAGUAUUAAUCUUUUUUUUGGUACAUUAUUCAUAGUAUUACUCUAGCUAUCUAUAUUUUAAUUAUCUUUAGUAAUAUUUUUGACUUGUUUUCUUAUCUCAGGGUUUGGGUGCAAAAGGCACACCAAAUUUUAUUUAUAAAAGGGAGUAGAAAAUUAUACAAGAAACUAAAAAAAAGGAAAUUGCUCAAACUUAUAUAUAUCAUAUGAUUUUUCUAAAAUUAAAUUUAUCCUUAGAACAUAUAAUACUUUAGUUUUAGUUUUAAUCCAUUUGUUUAUGAAAUACUAAUGUACGAUCAAAGGCUUACAAAGAUCGUAAGUAAAAAGAAAUCCAAACAAGAUUUCCACACCAGCUUAGCCUAUGUGAUCAAAGGCUUACAAGAUUGUAUGUAAAAAGAAUGGCGAAAGUAUUUAUUUUUUAAUCACUAGAUGUACACAUAAAUCAUAAUGACAUUCAUCUAUUUAUAUACGUGUGAACACCAAAACAAAAUAAUCACCAAAUAACCAUAAUUAUGAUCAAAACGUCACGCCUCCUAAAUCUGGAAUGAACAAACACAUCAACCACCGAAAAGUAUAAAAGAAAUAGAGCACAAAUAAAGAGAAGUAAAUAAAUUAUCACAAGAAAAAUAGAAAACGCUACUCAACAAGAUCAGUGAAUAAAUCAAACAGAUCCCGUCCGUCCAUGAAAUAAUAACAAGAUCAAGAGCCAAAGGGCCUCCACGUGGACGAAUCAUACGAAUAAUGAGUCUCUCUGUGUUUGACUUCUAAGCCAACAUGGUGAAGAAGGUUCCAGCUAGAGCAGUGCCUGCAAUGACAACUUUGCUGAGAGAGAAUGCAGAUGAAGGUGUAUCAGACGGUGGUGGCUGUGGUGCAGGACCUUCUGGUCCAGGUGCGGCGGCGCCAGGGCCUGAUGCAGGUGAGUUAGAAGUAGGUGCCUUAGAUGGGGUGGAAGCAGGAGUGGGGGAUGGUGGUGAAGUAGUAGUAGGAGCAGGGGAAGGAGCUUGUGUUGGUGGUGGUGGUGGUGGGGUGGCUGUUGGUGCAGGUGCUGGUGCUGAAUUCGGUGGUGGUGAUGGUGGGGUGGCUGUUGUUGGUGGAGUUGUUGGUGGUGGGGUGGUUGUUGUUGGUGGCUGGGUUGGUGCAGCACUAGGUCCUUGUGCUAUGCAUGAGGUGGCUAAGAGCCCCAAGAUCAUAAACACUUGAAAUGUUGCAGACCUCAUCUUCUUGCUUAUAGAGAGA
rnacentral:lncRNA from 1 species